AUUCUCGCGAGAUUUAUCGGCAGCCAUCUUCUUGGGGGUGCUAGGAGCCGGGAAGACCCCCCGAAUUGUUCCCAUUGAGCUGCCCUUCGUCUUCGCUUUCUUCACUUUUGCCUGUUCUGCGUUGCCGACACCACCUUAUCCCAAGGCUGAGUGAGAGCUCGGAUCUAGGCGUGUGUCGCCCUCCCGGUCCAAGAAGAUUUGCUCGGGUGGAGGGAAGGGGGAGGGCCCGGGCAAACCGUUGCUGCCUCAGCCGGGGUCCGGGGACGGGGAGCUCCUGGCACCCCGUGGAUUCGCGGCCUGCGACGGUACCCGCAGAGCUGUUCGCCGAUCGGGGCUCGCGGGAACCUGCCACCGGCGCCUCCCACCGCGGCCCACGCGGGCGGCGCGCGGAGGAGGGGGCGGGGGCAGCGGCGGCUGUAGCAGCAGCGACCUGGGCGGGCGGAGGAGUGUGACGGGCCUCCGGGCCGCUGUGGAUGGUUUCUAAAAUGAUCAUUGAAAACUUCGAGGCACUCAAGUCCUGGCUCAGCAAGACUCUCGAGCCCAUUUGUGAUGCAGAUCCAUCAGCCCUAGCAAAAUAUGUUCUCGCUUUGGUAAAGAAAGACAAAAGUGAGAAAGAGUUAAAGGCAUUAUGUAUUGAUCAACUGGAUGUAUUUCUUCAAAAAGAGACGCAGAUAUUUGUGGAAAAGCUUUUUGAUGCUGUGAAUACAAAGAGUUAUCUACCUCCUCCAGAGCAGCCAUCAUCAGGAAGCUUAAAGGUAGAAUUUUUUCAGCACCAAGAAAAAGAUAUAAAAAAAGAAGAGAUCACAAAGGAGGAAGAGCGAGAGAAGAAGUUUUCCAGAAGACUAAAUCAUAGUCCUCCCCAGUCAAGUUCCCGAUACAGAGAAAAUAGAAGUCGUGAUGAGAGGAAAAAAGAUGAUCGUUCUCGCAAAAGAGAUUAUGAUCGAAACCCUCCUCGAAGAGAUUCAUAUAGAGACCGGUACAAUAGAAGACGAGGCCGAAGUCGAAGUUACAGCAGGAGUCGGAGUCGAAGUUGGAGUAAAGAGAGGCUUCGUGACCGGGAUAGGGAUAGAAGCAGGACUAGAAGCAGAAGCAGAACACGAAGCCGGGAAAGGGAUCUAGUAAAACCUAAAUACGACCUGGAUAGGACAGAUCCACUAGAAAACAAUUAUACUCCAGUCUCUUCGGUACCUAAUAUUUCAUCUGGUCACUACCCUGUACCUACUUUGAGCAGCACUAUUACAGUAAUUGCUCCUACUCAUCAUGGUAAUAACACUACUGAAAGUUGGUCUGAAUUUCAUGAAGACCAAGUGGACCAUAACUCAUAUGUAAGACCACCAAUGCCAAAGAAACGGUGUAGAGACUAUGAUGAAAAGGGUUUCUGUAUGAGAGGAGACAUGUGCCCUUUUGACCAUGGAAGUGACCCUGUAGUUGUAGAAGAUGUGAAUCUUCCUGGCAUGCUGCCUUUCCCAGCACAGCCUCCAGUUGUUGAAGGACCACCUCCUCCUGGACUUCCCCCACCUCCGCCAAUUCUUACACCUCCACCUGUGAAUCUGAGACCCCCAGUGCCACCACCAGGCCCAUUACCACCUAGCCUACCACCUGUCACAGAUGAUAUUUCUUAUUCUUUGGUUUUGACAGGACCACCACCUCCACUUCCUCCUUUGCAGCCAUCUGGCAUGGAUGCUCCCCCAAACUCUGCAACCAGUUCUGUUCCUACUGUAGUAACAACUGGCAUUCAUCACCAGCCUCCACCUGCUCCACCCUCUCUUUUUACUGCAGUUUUUGUAUUACCAGAUACAUAUGACACAGAUGGCUACAAUCCUGAAGCCCCAAGCAUAACAAACACUUCCAGACCUAUGUAUAGACACAGAGUACAUGCACAAAGGCCUAACUUGAUAGGACUAACAUCAGGGGAUAUGGAUUUGCCACCCAGAGAAAAGCCUCCUAAUAAAAGCAGUAUGAGGAUAGUAGUGGAUUCAGAAUCAAGGAAAAGAACCAUUGGUUCCGGGGAGCCGGGAGCUCCUACAAAGAAGACCUGGUUUGAUAAGCCAAAUUUUAAUAGAACAAACAGCCCAGGCUUCCAGAAGAAGGUUCAGUUUGGAAAUGAAAAUACCAAACUUGAACUUAGAAAAGUUCCCCCAGAAUUAAAUAAUAUCAGCAAACUUAAUGAACAUUUUAGUCGAUUUGGAACCUUGGUUAACUUACAGGUUGCUUAUAAUGGUGAUCCUGAAGGUGCUCUUAUCCAGUUUGCAACAUAUGAAGAAGCAAAGAAAGCUAUCUCAAGUACAGAAGCAGUACUAAACAAUCGCUUUAUUAAGGUUUAUUGGCACAGAGAAGGAAGUACCCAGCAAUUACAAACUGCUUCUCCAAAGGUAAUGCAGCCCUUAGUCCAGCAGCCCAUUUUACCUGUUGUGAAGCAGUCGGUCAAAGAGCGGUUGGGUCCAGUACCUUCAAAUACUGUUGAACCAGCAGAAGCCCAGAGUGCCAGUUCAGACCUUCCUCAGAAUGUAACUAAGUUAUCUGUGAAGGACAGGUUGGGUUUUGUAUCAAAGCCAUCUGUUUCAGCAACUGAAAAGGUGUUGUCUACAUCUACUGGCCUAACUAAAACAGUGUAUAAUCCAGCUGCUUUGAAGGCUGCACAGAAAACCUUACUUGUUUCCACCUCUGCACUUGACAAUAAUGAAGCACAGAAAAAAAAACAGGAGGCACUGAAACUUCAGCAAGAUGUAAGGAAAAGGAAACAAGAAAUUUUAGAAAAGCACAUUGAAACACAGAAGAUGUUAAUUUCAAAACUGGAGAAAAACAAAUCAAUGAAGUCUGAAGAUAAAGCAGAAAUAAUGAAAACUUUAGAGGUUUUGACAAAAAAUAUUACCAAGUUGAAAGAUGAGGUCAAAGCUGCUUCUCCUGGACGCUGUCUUCCAAAAAGUAUAAAAACCAAGACUCAGAUGCAGAAAGAAUUGCUUGACACAGAACUGGAUUUAUAUAAGAAGAUGCAAGCUGGAGAAGAAGUCACUGAACUUCGGAGAAAGUAUACAGAGUUACAGCUGGAAGCUGCAAAACGAGGGAUUCUUUCAUCUGGUCGGGGUAGAGGAAUUCACUCAAGAGGCCGAGGUGCAGCUCAUAGCCGAGGCAGGGGUCGAGGUCGAGGUCGAGGUGUGCCUGGUCAUGCUGUGGUGGAUCAUCGUCCCAGGGCAUUGGAGAUUUCUGCAUUUACAGAGAGUGAUCGAGAAGAUCUUCUUCCUCAUUUUGCGCAAUAUGGUGAAAUUGAAGAUUGUCAGAUUGAUGACUCUUCACUUCAUGCAGUAAUUACAUUCAAGACAAGAGCAGAAGCUGAAGCAGCUGCAGUUCAUGGAGCUCGUUUCAAAGGGCAGGAUCUAAAACUGGCAUGGAAUAAACCAAUAACUAAUAUUUCAGCUGUUGAAACAGAAGAAGUUGAACCUGAUGAAGAGGAACAGAGAGAGAUCAUCAUUGCCUGAAUUUAGCUUUGUGACUACAACAGCAAGACCUGUUCCUGUCUGGAGACGACUGUUAGAAUAUCAUCCUAUCAUUUUAUGUUUGCUCUUUAUCAAUUUGAAUAGAUGUUUACAUGUACUAUAAUUCGCCUUUUGUCUUUUUGCAGUUCUCUAAUUGCUACAUCUGAGUCCAGAAGUAUGUCUGAGUGUGUGCUUUGUCUGACCUUGCUCUUAUCUUAAACGUGUUCUCCCCUUACUUUAUAGCCAUUUAUUUUUUAAACACUAAGAAGGAAAAAGACCUCUUGGCUUCCUAAAAUGAGAUAAGUUCAGUUGCAGCCAAGUUGAAAAUUGUGUCUAGGAAAUCUAUAAAGCCAUGAUACUGUGUUCAUUAGCAUGAACAAUUUAGAAUGAAGAAAAUGAUUAAAAAGUUAAGCAUGGGUCUGUUUUUAAUUUUUCUGGGUUUUAGGAUACAUUUCUGGGGUUAGAAUAGUCACUUAAAAAAUUUUGAACAGAUGCUAAAAUACUUUUUUAUACACUGUAAUAACUUGCCUAUUUCUUCUCCGUAUACUUAACUGAAAUUGUUGCCAAGGCCACUUACCCAAAUAAUUUUUCAAAAAAAUUUCUUAGCUCUUCACAACCAACAAGGAGAAUAAUUUUCUUUCUUUUCAAGUAAUACAGGAUGAUCUGUGGAUUAUAAAUAUUGAGAAAUAUCUAUUAAAUGUCUAAUUUACGCAUUUUCCCCAUAUUUUCCUCACUUGCAAUCAAGACAUCAAAGACAAUCUUAAAAGCAAGGGGAAAUUGUGUUGUGUGUCUAACAUUGUUAAAGACUAUAGUUUUCCUGUCUCAAAAGGUGUAUGUUCAUAAUAUUAUUUUUAAGCAGUAUGGCUUAGAAUUAUUUAUAAAGAGAGUGAUUAAAUCUGAUUCUAAAUAUUCACCCCAAAUACCCUUUUUGUAAUGAGCAUCAUAUAAAGAAGCUUUCAGAAAAUUAAUUUCUGAGUAGUCCUUCAUAGAUUCUCAUGAGGCAUUUGAGAAGUUUGGAAGAUAUACUUUAAUAGAAAAGUCCAAAUUAUACUUGAUUUUAUUCACCCUUGUUUUUUUAGUUUCUGUCAGCCAUGCUCAUAUUUUCACAUUUUUUUGCGCAAAGUUGACUAUUCUGCAAACACUUCUUUUUCUUGAGUGUGCAGUGCAUUUGUCUUCAUGAAAAAUAAAAAGAAUGAACACAUCAAUCAUAAUGUAAAUUAUUUUGAUCCACAUUAAUUGACAAUAGCUUGGUUAAUAUUAGGCUUGUGUUUAAAGGAAAAGUACAUAUUUUGGAAGGUCUUCUAAUAUAAUUAUGACCCAGUAGCCUACAGGGCAUUUUUAAAAUGAGACUUUUGUUUUAGUUCAUAUUUGCAAGCUAGCGUAUAGCCACAAGGAGUUCAAAGAUACUUCCCAGAAUAGUUCAGUAUUUUUUUCUUUUCAAGGAAAGAAGAUUCUCUUCCCCCGUGAUAGUGAUUUACUUGCUAGGUUAGAAACCCAAAGAACAUAGUCUGAAGAGACCACACUUGUUAACAAUUUUGAUUGGUUCUUGGAUGUGGACCACAUACCAGCACCCUCAACUUUACUUUGUCAUCUUUCUUUUUCUUUCCCUUGCUUUUAAAUUAAAAACAAAAUAAAGCAAAACAAAAUUAAACAUGCCAUUGGGAACCAGAAUUCGAGAUGAUUUGAUUUCUCAUUAAGAUCAUUGUGCUUUUUGAAAAUUUCUGUGAGAGCCAAUAGGUCAGUUAUAUAUUUAAAUUCCUAUAUGUUGAUUAAUUAAAGAUAAGGAUUUUCAUCAUUUCAUUUUCCUGAGUAGGAUUCUCAUGGAGCUAUAUGUAGAUAACUGUACAGAAUCACUUUUGUGUAAUUGAAUGAAGUGGUUUACCUCUGCAUGAUUGCAUUAUGGAAGCCUUUUAUAUAUCUUUAUAUUUUUCAAUAUACUUAGAUUUUACACUAUUAGCAGCUCUAGUCAUGCUAUAUUUGUUUUUUUUAAAUAGAGUUUAUAAAUAUUUAUGCUCAAAAUACAGAUCAACUGAAUAUUUUUGGUCUUGUUUACAAGAUAAAUAAUACUUUAAAGUGAUGCAGCCCAAGUGUCUUAGGAAAAAGUAAUUGGUGCUAAAAAAAAAAACCUUUCAAUAUCAUUUUUGAACCUGUUAUCUAGACUUCGCUAGGCUUUAAUGUAUGAUCACUUGUUACUUAUUCUAAUCUAGCAGCAUAAUUAUAAAAGUGGUCUGUGGUAAGUCAGGUAAAGAGCCCAGCCUGUUAGAAACACCCCGUAAUUUAAAGAUAUGGUACAGAAUUACAGUAUACUUAUUUGUGCCCAGCUUCCAAAAAAGAAAAUAGUUUUCUUCAGUUUGUCCUUAGCUCUUUUGAUAAGAGGAGCUUUAAUCUGGCUAGAAUAAAAAAAAAAAAAAUGAUACAUUCAGCAUGGCUCAGUUUUCCUAAAUUUCAGGUGGAAAACUUUUCCAGUCCUAAAAUAUGGUGUAAUCCUGCUCUGCUUCAAAUUCCCAUCUGUCUUUAACUGAACAGGAGGCAGGGUAAUUCUUACAUAUUAAUAGAACAUUUGAUGAGUUGUAAAGGGAUGUAUUAUUUACGUUGUACAAGUUUUACGUUGAUGUGUACAUCUAGAAGACUUCAUUCCAGCACCUUAGUGAAUGUUCUUAAGAUACAAUUUUUAAGUAUCAGCAAAGCAUUCAUAGACGUUUACUUUUGAUUCUCAGAAUCCUGAACCUGUUUUAGGUGUGAUAAUUCUUCAGAACAUGUUAUCUGGCACAAGAUUUCCUUUAAUAAGUGGUUUAGUUUUACUCAGUUUCUGUGGAUUGUUGAACCUAAAAACACCAAAGGAGUCUUUUUCUUGUCUGGAGACUGGAUUGUUCCAGUUUUUAAUACCUGUGCCCAUAAGUAUCCCAUUUCACGAAUGUGUUUUGGCAUGGGGGAAAAAUUCCCUGCUCUUUGAGUGGAGCGAAAGUAAUUGGUUAAGCUGUAGCAGCUUUUUUUUUGUUUGUUUAUUUUUCAAAGUGAUAAAACUUGAACUGAAAAAGGUAAAACUUGAACUAGAAAACUACUCUUGUAUGCUUAGAAUGUUUAUAGUAUUAUAUGUUUAUGUGGGGUUGUCAACAUUUUUAUUAUUUAUAGUUGAAUUAUGUUUUGUUUGUUAAAUAUCCAUAAUGUUUAUUAUUUUUAUAUUUUGAAAAAUUUUUAAAUAAAAUAGUCUUACUAAAAACAGUUGUUAACUUUUUAAAAUUGUCCUGCAUCUUGCAUCAGUUAUAUUAAUACGGAAUAGAAAGAAAAAUUUGCAGCCCUCAGGCGUUGCACAGUUGAGAAUUCUGAAAAUAUAAAUAUAUAUACACACAAGUGCCUCCAGGUUGCCUCUCUGCCCUCCAUUCCCACUUUAAAUUGUUCUAAUUCACCUUUGGUACCAAUGUGUUAUUGGCCUAAUGACUCCUUUUCUAACAUAUAUACAAGUCCUCCAUACCCUUCUUCUCCAUAAUUCCUGCCUCUUUACUGCUAGGAUUUAUCUCGUUAUUCUAUUUGGGGGCCAGAAAGUUUCUCCUUACCAUGAGUAAUAAGGAUAAAAUACUAUUGUGAUGUCAAAGAAAGACUGCCGUAUAUUCUGAAGUGAAAUUCCGUGUAAAGGGCUUAUGCUGUCAACCUCCAAAGCCAUUGAAAGUUUCCAGAACUUCCCUCUAUAAUUUUCAGUUUUCACCUCAGUGUUUGUUCUCCUGAUUUGACCUGCUUUUUCAGCAUUCAGCAUGCUCAUUUCAUAUUUAAUUUCAAUGAUUGAUAAAUAUUGCUGUAUUUGUUUUUUUGUUUUCCUUGCAGAUAUACCUUCUAUCAUCUGUAACGUGGGUUAAAUAAGCUUGGUAGUAACCUGUCUUCCACUUGUGACCCUGCUUCUACAAGAAACACAUUAUCACCUCAAAGUGCAUAAGUCUCGAUAAAGUCUAGUUAAAGAAAUCUGGUUAUGAAAUAGUAGAGGACUUUGGUUAAUAAUGUACUGGGUAAAAUUAUUUUUAAAACGUACUUCAUAUAGUAUAUACUUUACAUAUCCAGCCCCUGUGGAAUAUUUGCAGAUUAUUGAGCAUAUUGUCAACCUUCACUUAACCUGAAAAAAUAUUUCUGCAUGAAGUAUGAAUGAAUUUGGUCUUUAAAAAAAAUUUUAAAAAAAAUCACAUGUAAUAGCGUAUUGUAGAAAAGCUAAAAAUUAAAAAGACAGGAUGAUAGCCAAUUAUUUAUAAAUGAUCACGGAACAUUUAAAAAUGGGGUUAUGUGUACUGUUUUGUAGUCUUUUUUCAUUUAUGAUAAUAGGUUCAUACCAUUUUUUUAAAGCCCCUCCAGUUGUAGAUGAAUCGUAAUGUAUUGAAUCCUCAUUUUGGGUGCAUAGGGUCUUCCUUUCCAUUUUUUAUUUUAAUAUAAAUGAUGCUGUACCCUUGAAUAUCUUUGAUUAGUCCUUCAAGAUAUAUUCUCAAAACUCCUGGGUUAAAGUAUACUUGUUUUUAAAACUCAUGGUAACAUUUUCAGUUUGAUCUUUUACAAAGCAGAGAUUUUUAACAUGUAGGUACUUUCAUAAUUUGGCUUUGGAGAACAGCAUAAAUUCAGUUUUUUGCACUUGUUAAAACUGAAUUUCAUAUUUUAACAGGAACCAACCAAAUUAUGCUUGAUCGAGUAGUUCAGCUCUGAUGCAAUAGUGACGCUAUUAGUAUUUUCCACAAUAUGUUGUUGCCAGGAUUUUGUAUACCAUACCAGAUUUUUUUAUAGUCUCAUAACUAGUCUGUAUUGAAAGGACAGAUAAUCUUUACCUUUAUUAAAUAAAUGGCAGAAUCAGGACUGGAAUUUCCAUUUCUCAAUAUCAUAAGCACUAGAAGAAUACACAGAGACCACAUAAUUUAUAGAAAUGACAAACUCCCCGUAUUAUGUCAACUCUCCAAACUGCUUUUCUUCAGGAAAACAUGAUUUGUUUUCCCCAUGAAAUUCAUGAACAUUUGUUUCUGAAACAUAAAGCAUGAAGUAGACUGAAAGAAAUUAUGUAGAAAUGGGAAGAUGAUGGGUUCCAUAUAUUUUCCUUCUAUGUCCUAAGCAAAAAAAAAAAAAAAAAAAAAUCCAUUUUCUUCUGGGAAGAAUAAAAUCCCUUGCAAACCAUGGACAUUUUCCUGAGCUAUUUAUGUAAUGGUGAUGUUUUAUCUAAUAUUUAUCUAAUACACUAUAUUGUGUGACAUUAAUUACAAUAUUGGAGGGUUUGCAGUGUUGUGGUGGAGUUUUCUUGCCAGGCUUUGACCUUUUUUAAACCUAGAAAUGAGUUACUGAAGUAUGUAAGAAUGCACUUUGUGUUCAGUGCUGAGAAUCAUGAUUCUGAUUAUCUAAAAUGUAGUAUGUAAGUGUAUUUGUUUUGAGGACUUUGAAUUUAGGAAAUGGAGUUAAUGAAAAGACUUCUGACUUCAGGGAGGAUAGAGUACAAGUUUCACACAAAGCUUUUAAAAUCUCCCACAUUUUUGAAACAUUUUUAAUGUUAAAAUGUUAACUUAUUCCAAAGAUCUCAUUUAAAUAAAAAAUUUCAGGGACGUUACCAUGCUCUUUUUUUUUUUUUUUUAAAUCUCUAUGACUUAAGACUUCAUGGCAUCACUUUUUAUUAGAAGUUGAUGUUAGGAAGAAAUACUUAGAGAUGUCUGCAAUUUUGGAGUUAGAAAUAGUCAAAUUUGUACUAAGUUUAAUGCAGUAUUUAGUUUUUGUGUGAUAAGUCUAGUAGGUAAUAUGCCAAUUUCACAUUUUAUUUUUUUUUAUCAAGUUAAUAUUCAGAGUUAACAGAAAUUAAAGAAUGAUAGAAAAGAAGAUCUCUGGCACUUAGCAAUUGUCAUGUCUGAAUGAGGUAAGAAUUUAAACAUCAAACAGGUAACUCUUAAAAUAUUCUUUGAGUACUGAUCUGAUUGUUAGCCAUGAUAGCCCUCACAUAUGUCAUAUUUGUAAUACUAAAUGGAUGAAAACUACAUAUACUGAAAACGAAAUCGCAUCCUAACCAAUGAUUGGUUAACCUAGAAUAGGUUUUUAAAUUUUGUUUUAUCAAGAUAUCCAGUGAAAAAGAGGCGAGAAUCCUCAAAUUGGGAGUACUCACAAAAAAAUAGGGCCUUCUAAGGUGCUGAAGAUGGGGAGAUAGAUUUAGUCUUGCAUUUGUUAAAGUUCUAAUUAAAAGAAAGCAGCCUACGAGCAAGUAAUGCAUUUGUACUUUUGGUUUUUUCCCCCAACUGAUAAGCUUUACUGAGCAUCAUAUAUAUAUAAAAUGUAUUAAAAAUACACAUCCAGGGUACCUGAGUGGCUCAGUCAGUUAGGGUCUGACUCUUGAUCUCAGCUCAGGUCUUGCUCUCAGGGUUGUGAGUUCAAGCCCUGUGUUGGGCUCUACGCUGGGUAUAGAGCUUACUUAAAAAAAUGUUAAAAACAUGCAUCCAAGAAUACAUUUAUACAGGGUCCCUCUUAUGUUCCUCAUGGGGAAGCACUCUAUAGGGAUGAUGACAGAAACCUGAAUGAGUUCCAAGGUACUCCCCCCCCCCCCCAAAAAAAGACCCACCCUUUUUAUCUGCCACAAGAGCACCUCAGCACAACUUACAUUACCACAUAAAGUAUAAGCCACACCAUUCAGACCUAAUGCCCAACCAAGUUUAAUUUCCUAAGAUUUUCACUGUGCUAUAUACUUCUGUAACCUACCUGUGACUGCUCUUGCCCAGAUGGACCUGGGAAUUUUCCAAAAGGUGAACACUUAGGGCCUUCCUCUGUGCAACUCUAGCUAUGGUUUACUGCGAAUCAUAAACAUAGAAGAAUGAUUUUUUUUCCAUAUACUAACAUCAAACAUUUGGGAGACUGAAAUUUAAAAUGCAAUGCUAGUUACAACCAUGAAAAAAAAAAUGAUACGCCUAAAUGUAUAUCUAACCAUGUACAGGACUUGAAUGCUAAAAAUUACAAAAUGCCAAUAAUCAAGGAAGACCUAAAUAAAUAGCGGGAGUUCAUGGAUUGGAAAACCCACCAUCAUAAAUGUGUUCAUUCUCCAAAUUCAUACACAGGUUUAAUAUAAUACCAAAAUCGCAGUAAGUUUUUUUAUAGAUAAGAUUAUCCUAAAAUUUAUAUGGAAAGGCAAAAGAAUCAGAACACAACAGUUUUAAAAAAGAUGAGUGAAAGGAAUCAGUCUAUCCAGUUUCAAGACUUAAAGCUAUAGUAAUUAAGACUGUGUUUAAAAUGGAGGGAUCUUCAUAGGAAGGAUAAACACAUGGAUCAAUGGAACAGAAUAGAGAUCUCAUAAAGAUGCACACAAAUAAGCCCAACUGAUUUUUGAUAGGGUACAAAACCAGUUGAAUGUAGGAAAUAAAAUUUUCAAAUGAUCCUGGAACAAUUGACAUCCGUUGGCAAAAACAAACACCCCUCUCCCUGACCUAAGACACCUCAUUCAACAAUUAACUCAAAAUGGAUCAAGGAUUUAAACGUAAAACUACAAAACUUGUAAGAAAAAGAGAAAUCUGUGGAAUCUAGGGCUAGGCAAAAGUUCUUAGACUUGGCACCAAAAGUAUGAUCCAUACAGCAUGAUAAAUUGGAUUUCAUCAAAAUUUAAAACUUGCUCUGUGAAAGAAUCUGUUACAAGGAUAAUAACUACAAAGUGGGAGAAAUUUGCAAAUGACAUCUAGUAUGUGUCAGCACUGGUAUCUAGAAUAUAUAAUUCUUAAAAGCUUAAUAAAAAGCAAACAAUCCAACUAGUACAUGGACAAAAGACAUUUCACCAAAGAUAACAUUCAGGUGGCAGAUAAACACAUGAAAAGAUAUUCAACAUCCUCUGCCAUUAGGGAAGUGGAAAUUAAAACCGCUAUAAGAUGUCCUUACAUACUACCAGAAUGGCCAAAGAAAAAGUGACAAAACCAAAUACUGGCGAGGAUGCACAGAAACUGGAUCACUCGUUGAGGCACCUGGGUGGCUCAGUAACUUAAGUGUCCACUCUUGUUUUCGGCUCAAGUCGUGAUCUCAGGGUCCUGAGAUCAAGCCCUGCACAGGGCUCAGCGCUGGGCGUGCAGCCUCCUUAAGAUUGUCUCCCUCUGCUUUUGCCCCCCUUCCCUCUCUAAAAAAAUUUAAAAAAGAAACGGAAUCACUCAGAUAGCUGGUGGGAAUAUUAAAUUGUAUAGUCAGUCUGGGAAACUGGCAAUUUCUUAAAUAGCUAAACCAACUAUCAUAUCAACCAGUAAUUAUAGUCCUGGGCAUUUAGCUUAUUUUCACACAAAUACCUGUAUAUAAAUGUUCACAAUAACAAACCACUGGAAGUAAUCUACAUGUCUUCCAACAGGUGAAUGAUUAAUCUGAUGCAUUCAUUCCGUGAAAUAUUACUCAGCAUUAAAGACAAAAGAACAAAAACCACAUUAUUGAUAAUGUGCUACACCUUGGAUGAAUUUCCAGAGACUAUGCUGAGUGGGAAAAAAAACCCCAAAAAACAAAAAACACGCCAAUCCCAAAAGGCUACUUACUGUGUGAUUCCAUUUAUAUAACAUUCUUGAAAUGACAAAAUUAUAAAGAUGGGGAACAGAUUACUAGUUGCGAGGUGUUAUGGAGGUGGUGGGUGUGAAUGUAAAAGGACAGUAUGAGAGAUCUUAAGGUAAUGGAAAUAUUGUCUUGACUAUCAGUAGGUGGUUGUUAAAUUGUACUAUAGUGUUUGCAAGAUACUACCAUUGGAGGAAACUUGGUAAAAGAUACACAAGAUCUUUAGUUCUUAUAACUGCAUGUGAACUUAAGUUUUAUCUCAAAAAGCUUAAUUUGAGAAAAAAGUAAAGGGAGAGUAACAUCUAGUUCCAUCUUAGGGCACAAUCUGGGGAAAUGUCUUGGAAAGAUGUGUGCUUCUCAUAAAGAAUGAGUCCUUGGAAUCAAUUGAGUUUGCACGCUUGGGUAUUUCUGGAAGUACUGCAGACUUAUUUCUCCCACUGGUUACAUACUCAGUGCCAGUAAAUGAGGCGGUUCUGCAUACAUGGUGACUCUUUUAUUCUUCCCAUCAGCACUGCUGCCUGAAAGAGACUUCAUAUUGAGAAAUGGCAGAGCUCACCUAUGAAAAGGUGGGUGAAGAUUAAAACAACUGAUGCUUACCUUGUUUUCCCUGCCCUUUACCAUAGUUCGGUGCGGGGGGGUGGGUUGAAAUCACCCAAAAGAGAAAGAGAACAUAGAACAAAAGCAAAAUUAUAAAUUAAAUGCUCUGAAGGAAAGAAACAGUUUUAUAGAAGUAUAAAGCAAAUGAACCCUACCUAUGAUGUCAGGAAAGUCUUCCCACAAAAAGUGAUCUUUUAGUUGAGAUCUGAAAGCUGAGCAGGAGCUUACUAGAGGGAGAGCAUAUUCUUGAGGAAUGAAUAGUUUUGUGCAAAAAUACCAUGCAAGACCAAGUAUGGCAUAUCUGAGGACAGAAAGAAGCCCAGUGCGACUGCAGUGCCGUGAUGAUAAACAACUUGAGAAUUAUUUAGUACAGAAAUCUUAAUCUAUGGGUGAGAAUGAGAUUCCUAGACAUCACAUAUAGAGUGAGGAGGUCUACGUUUAAUCCAGAUAAUGUAGGCAGAUUCUGCAAAGGAGAAUUAGAAAGGACAGCCAAAGCGGUAGGAACAAAACCAGGAAUGGUAGUUACAAAUACCGCUCCCCCCCACAAAAAAAAGGUUUAGGAAAGAGGUGGUGAUAAAGUGUCAAAUGUUAAAAGGCAAAGUAAGAGGGAAUGUGAAAGAUACCCAUUGGAUUUUAGGAUAAGGAAGUCAUUGACUCUGGAAUAUGCUUUUGUCUGGGUUUUUUGUUUGUUUUUUUUUGCUUAUUUUUUAAUGAUGGAUUUGGGAGCCAAAAUGGAUAGGCUAAAGAGUAAAAGGAAGAUAAGGAUAUAGAAACAGAGUAUAUGCAGGUUUUUUGAGAUUUUGAAGGGUGGAAGAGAUAGAUAAGUACUUUGAAAGGCAAGUGGGAUAAAGGGAGGCCAGAAAAUCAUGUUUAAAUCUUUACAGAAAAGUCCUAAUAAGGUAGAAUGAACAAUAACGAUAGUUUAAGGUGCCUAAAAACAUGGAAUAGGGAAAAAUCCAAAGCACAUUUAGAACUUCCUUUAGAAGAUAAUAGAGACAAGUAAGGAGAGGAGGAAAAUUUCAUGUUUUUAGGAAGUUUGGUGGUAGAAUUCAAAGAGUUCUCAUUAGAUUACUUCAAUUUUCUUUGCAGCUACUUAGGAAUAUCAUUUGCUGCAUAACCUCCACCCUAUAAAUAGCAUUCCCUCCCCACCUUUAUCAUCUUUCCCAGUUAUACCUGAACAUGCCCUAAAUAUCUAGCCUUAACUAGUCCCCUCUCAUUGUUCCACGCCAGACUCAACUGGACCCUUCACCACUGCCUCUACUGCUGAUCACAGUGGCCUCUGUUAAAACACUGCUUUACUGGAUACACCCAAACCUCACAGUCCCUCUCCCCUACCCACAUCACACCUUCAGGGCAGCGAAGCUGCACUGCAGUCUGAGGAAGUCCAUGAUCCUCUUCAACUCUAUCAAUCUUUGUUCCUGGGACUCAGUGCAUAGCAUCUUUUAACACAGCUCCUUUUAUUUCUUGCCCUCUCAAGCCAGUGAGUAAACAAAUAUCUUGCCAUCUCUGAGAGGAUGGCCAGGAGCAUGAAGCAAUUGGAAUAUAAAGGGUUUUAAAAGAAAUAGGAACUAGGAUAGAAGGAGUCUGGAAAGAAGGUUCAGAGCAUGGUAAGAACUUUGAACUUCAUCCUGAGGUGUUGGAGUUGGGGGCACUGAACGGUUUGAAAGUUUAGAAGAAAGAAGGGGAUGGAGUAGAAGGAAGACAGAGAUGAGGGCAGGGAAAUGUGAAGUGAUUAUUUUUGCAGUGAUAAGGAGGAUGUACUGUAGGCAGGGAGGACAUUGGGCUUAACAAGGGCAGAGACUCCAGAUUUCUAAGCUGAGCAACAAAGUUGAUGGUCGUGUCAUAUGCUGAAUUGGGCCAGUGGGAUUAGGAGCAAGUUUGUAGGACAAGAAAGGAAGUCGAAUUCAUGUGUGACAUGUUGAGUUUUAGGGCCUUGUGGGAUAUCAAAAUGGAAAUAUCCUCUAGGCAGAUGUCUGCUAUCUGAAGUGUAGGAGAGGAGUCUGGGAUGCAGAUACAAGUCUAAGAACCAUAUACACUACAUGAGUGAGAUUCCCCAGUGAGGACAUGUAGCAUGCAAAGUGGUAAAAAUAAGGAUGGUAAACCCCAAUAUUUGCAAGGGACAGAAGAGGGGGUACCCUUGAAGCAGAUAAAAAAGAGUUGCUAGAAAAAAAAAGAUCUAACUGAAAGGAUGUUACAAAAGCCAGUGAAGGAGAGAACAUCACAAAUGGGGGCUUGAUAAAGUAAGAAGUCAGUAAUAUCAAGAUGGAAAGGACCUGUGGAUUUGCCAAUUCAAAAGUGCAUAGGCUUAUUGCAUGGAGCACUGGGUGUUAUAUGCAAACAAUGAAUCAUGGAACACUACAUCAAAAACUAAUGAUGUAAUGUAUGGUGACUAACAUAAUAAAAUUUUUUAAAAAGUACACAGGAAGUUUCAUGGAAGGAGAAAUCAGACUGAUGUUUGGUGGAGACUGAAUGUAGGAAAUUCAAAGCAGAAGGCAAAAUUUAGUAUGGUAGCUUGAAGACUUUGCUGGGUAAAGGAAAGGAAAGGUUUGUAUUUUUUAGACUGAAGGAAAAGAAUCAAUGGGAAAGAGGAGAUUAAGAAUGUAAGAGAAGUUGUUUAUAACUAAUAGAUAUUUCAGGGUGCACCAUGGAAAGGGCUGACAGAAUGAGUUGUGAGAACAGUGAUAGAGUAUGCUAGAACAUGGUCACCACAGCCUGAUCAUUUGAGGACUGCCCAAGUGUGAUGUGGCCAACAGAAAUGCAUGGAACUAAUGGAAUUUUAAGUCAGUUUUUUUUUUUUUUUAAGAUUUAUUUAUUUAUUUGAGAGAGCGAGAAAGAGAGUACAUGAGAGGGGGGAGGGUCAGAGGGAGAAGCAGGCUCCUCGCUGAGCAGGGAGCCUGAUGCGGGACUCGAUCCCGGGACUCCAGGAUCAUGACCUGAGCUGAAGGCAGUCGCUUAACCAACUGAGCCACCCAGGCGCCCUUAAGUCAGUUUUAAUAGAAAGUUCUUCUGCUCAGAACUCAAGGCAGCUGUUGCAUGCUGGAGUAUGUAGAUGGCUGUUUUUACCCAAUCCCUAGAAAUCUUAACACAACUGAAAUAUAGUAAUUUCUAUUUACAAAACAUAAGUAACUUGCUCAUAAUAAGCACCCAAAUGUUUAUAAAAUAAAUGGAUUAGGUUACCCUGGAUUUUUCUGGGGGAAGGGAGAAGGAAAAUUAUAAAAUAAAAAAGAGUGUAGGAAGGGGUAUUGAGGAGAGGGAGAAUCCCAGGGAAGAAAGGUGUAAUAACAAAGCCUAGUACCAGAAUAAAAACACCCAGUGUAAGGAAAAAUAUGUUUGUUUAUGCUUGCUGCAAGUAAAAGAAAAAUGUUUUUUCCCUCUGAACUUAACUUUCUUUCAGUGACUGUAUCUUGAUGCCAGGGUAAUGAAAAUCAGAGUUGGUACUUUGGUUCCUGCCACUACUUCCUAAAGACAGCCAGCAUGAAAUGGCUGGAGUAGGGAGAUGGAGCACCUGGUUUUAAAGAAACUGUGUGACCUCAAGCAAAUAAUUUACAGUGUCAAUCUCAGUCUUCUCAUAUGUAAAAUGGAGGUAAAAAUAGUACCUUCUCACUAUUGGUACCCUUCUCACUAUUGAGAAAAACGAUGAAAUUAUGUGGAUUAAGGAUUUUCUUGGGGUAUGGUAAUGGCUCAAUGGAUUCAUAAUUGAAAGGCUCAGGAAAUGGAAAAUAUUUCCUGUGGGUUCCAUAUCUUAGGGAAAAGGAAAGGCCUAGAUCGUGUUAAGGAAAAUGGAUGCAGUGUAGGUCCACCACCCACUCCCAGUGCCUCAUUCAGAAAUAGGAAUUGAAUUUAUCCUCAGACCUGGUCUGCUUUAGAUAUAAAGAAUCCUGGGGAAGGCUCACCAUUUCCCCUUCUCUACUCCACCUGCUUCUAAUAUACUUUGAAACCCUAAUCUAGGGAGGUAUGGCAGCGGUGGGAUAGUGAAAAUUGAGCUCUUUGUGUUGCUGAGAACUCACGCUGCUUCAGGUACUUCUUAUGAGCUCCAUGUCUUGGGGCAAACUGGCUUCAGGGAUAUAUAUGGCCUGGAAUUCCAAAAUUAUUCAAGGUUGAGAACAAUCACUCCAUGCCUCUUUUUCCAUAGUACCUCAGCCUUCUCUGUGUCUCUAGUCCAUUUUGCUCUCUCUACUAGAUAGAAACUCUUUUCUGUACUUUCCAGUAUACACUUUUGGGAAGAUUUUCUAAUUAGCUAAAUAAAUGCACUUGCUGUCCUAUAUUAAUCAGCUAUUGCAAAUACAACAGCAGCAGCAACAACAACAACAAAACCCCACAGAUGUGUAAGGAAAUAUAAAAAAAAAAAAAAUCCCGGUGACUUACAAUAAGCUUUUAUUCUUCUGCUUGUCCACAGGUUGAUGGUGAUUCCGCCUAUUUAGAACUGCGGUCAACUGGGAAGCUUGUUUGAGGCUAUGGUUUGGCAUUAGCUCUGUUUCAUGUACAUUCAUUCUGGGGCCCAGGCUGAAGGAGCAUCAGGUUCCUGAGCAUUGUCUUCUAUGGAGGAUAAUUGAACAAGUCAUGCCUCUUGAGACCUCAGUCUGGCACAUGUUCACAUCUACCCAUAUUUCAUCAGCUUAAGCAAGGCACAUAGCCAAAGCCACCAAUAUGGUAGUAAAUAUACUCUUCUUAGUCUAAUAAAGCAGUGUCACAUGGGAAAGAGCAUGGGUGUAGAAUUCUAAAACAGGAAGUUAUGAAGAAUUGUAAACAAUGAUUCAAACUUUGUCCCGGACAACUAUAAUCUAUGUGUGCAUCAGGUGCCCACUCUCAUCUAAUCUUUGGCUGUACUUAACAAAAGUCUGCCGAGUAGAGCAGCCCACAGUGAAAACAGGUCAAUGAGUGCAACCCACAUGACUCCUAUCUAGUGUGUGAACCCUAGGAAAGGUGUCAAUAGCAUGAGAGAAUAGAGAAUAGAGGGGACUAGAUAGCCCUCAUUCAUAACAUUUUACCGUGAAUUUGUUUCAAAAGUAAAGGUUAGUCAAGUCUGGAGGUAUAUUUGUUGAAAUGAAUGAGUUAUGAUUCAAAAGAAAUGAAGUUAUGAACCUUCAAAUAGUUGAGUCUUAAUACAAAUAACUACAGGCAGUCUUUGCUCUAGACUACCCCAAUGUACAUGAAUUUCACUUGCCGCAGUUUACUUAAAUAACACCAGUCCCACAACACUAUGAUCCAAAGUCAGUUACCACAGUAUAUUAACUGUGAGUGCUUAAAGUAUAAACUUCAGCGCUAGGUCUUAGGUCCACAAAUCACUGUGUAAAUAAGAGAUGUGCAUCAUGAUCAGUGAACAAUCACAUUGCUUCUUUCAAAAUCUGUGAUUGGUCACUGUGCAUCUUUUAUUCAGUUCACACAUGUAUAGCAAAGCAUGUCAUUGUGUUGCCUUCUUGUCUCCCAGGGAUAAAUUCAUGUAACAGUUUAUAAAAAUGGGUAAUGGAGUGUUAGUUACACCAGCUUAAAAGUGAUGGAGGCGGUCAUUGUUUUUUCAGGGGCAAAGAAUAGAAGGGAACAGAUAGCUGUCAGGGAAGAGAGACUGACUCACAACUGGUGCUUGGACUUCUAAGGGGAUCACACAGCUGAUUCUGAAAGUGAUAAAAGAUGCUGGAAGGAUGCAUACAAGACCUGAAGUGGGAGCAUCUCUUCUCCCUUUCUUCCCCUGGUAGUCCCCCAACAGCUCCUCCCAUUGGCAGUUAGUCUAGGAAAUGUAGUUUGCAGAUACACAAUCAGAGCCAGAGAGGUAGAAGGGUUGGACUGGGUCUGAGAAGCACUAGGUAAGUACCUGCAAUAGCUGCCAUCACUAUUUCUCCUAGGGAUUGUUGCAAGAAUAAGAUUACUAAUGCUUUGCUUUGAUACCUCAGAUCUCUGAAGAGGCGUGUCUACAGGGCCACUGUCAAAAGUCUGCUACCCUUGUAAGUCAUGCAUUGAAAUAAAUGGAAACAUGUUGCCCAAAUAUCAACCAGAGGUCAGUUACAACCACUUUUUGUUGAUCCACAAAAAUCAGACAUUUCCUACCCCCUCAAAUUAUUGUUAUUUGCUCAUAGUUUAUUUCAUUUCUCCUCAAAUGGCUAACCUUUGUGUGACUCCAUGUCUAAGAACUUAGCUUGUCUUCUUUUAUCUAUUCUCAGUCUGUAGGGUUGCUUUUUCUUUGCUCUCUUUCUUAUUUGCCUCUCUACUUCUGGUAAUGAGGUAUCCUGGGUGUUGAUUCUUUGAGAGUAUUUUUCAGUUUGCUACUCAAAGAAAAAGAGGCUAAGGAAUCUGAGAUUUUAAUUUAUUUCAACUUUCUUGGUUUCUUUCUUAUACCCCUGCUGGCCCACUGGGAAGAAACAAGUCCACCCCUUUGGAGAAUUUGAAGCUUAUGCUCUGGAAAAGAAAACAAUGGCUUGUACUUACUUGUUAAUAUAGUUCUUAUCUUCUUUUACAUACACUCUUUUACACAUAAUAAGCAUUUAUGUAUGAUAAAGAUAGACAACUACAGCAUUUGAGCUGUUUAAAAAACCACUAUUAUGAAGUUCUGGGGUCCUAUCUGACACCCACUUGUAUGGGUGGCAGUGACACCCGGGUAGAAGAGGAUAAUGUGAAUAUACAGAGAAAGUUUAGAAAUUACUAAUUGGACAACCAAUUGAAAAGCUAAUAUAGGUGAUAAGUCUUGCUUGUAUUCCAAUUUCCAUAGCUAUCUUUUCAAAUAUGUCUCUGAUACCCUAAGAUGCUAUAAGAAAGAUACCAGUUAAACUGACCAGUGCUGCUUUUUCAUUGUAUUUUUUUGUAUUUUGUAUUUAUUUUUAUGGCACACUUUUAGAGGUACUUCACUUCUGAUUACAAAAUAAUUUAGUGUGUUUAUUCCAGUGAGCUGAACUAAGCUGUUACUAGUUUUGAAAAACUAUGCCUCCAUGGCUUUAAGGGAAGAUUGGAUUGGUACGAAAUACCAAUUGUGGUCUUUAUGCCUGGUGACACCAUUGGUUGAGAAAUACCAAGUGAAGGUUCUAAACCAUUAUAUGUAAUGUAUAAUCUAACAUAUAACCCACAUGCACAUAUAAUAAACAAAACCAACAUUUUCUAUGAAGUAUUCAUUCCUAUUGAUCAAUGAAGUGUAUUCUAGUGGAAAGAGUCUUAGGUGAUAAAGUUUGGUUCAGCCUCUACUACUAAUUAGCUCUGUGACCUAGGCAAAGUCAUUUAACCUCUCUGGGACUCACUUUGCUUAUCUGUAAUAAGAGAGAAUAGACCAAGAGUGACAAGCAGGAUUCAUCUUGACCACUAACUCCAGAGAGCAGUCUGUUUGUUAAGUGCUGAGUUGAGAAUUCUAAAGCUGAGUCUGGGCUUAAUGAGAAGGAAUGCCAUGAUCGAUUAGUGCUGUCUGCUAUGGGUGCAGGAGGUGGAGAGCGGCACUGAGAGUGCCAUAUAUUAGCUGUCACCCUAGACUAGAUUACCUCCAAGGCCAUUUGUACUAUGCCAUAUAAUUCAAGUUAUUUAUCACGUAAAUUUAGGUUUAUAAACAUAAAACAAACUGGAAAAACAAACCUCGAGGUUCCCUGAUCUAAAUACGGAUUUUGGAAAAAUACAUUUUUUUCCUUUUGGAAGUAGGAAUGAAAAAGGAAGUUUCUGCCAGAACUUUUUAAAGUUUUAAAAUAAUGUAAAUUUAUCUCCCUUCACUCUUCCAUUCUCUCAUGAAAUAUUUAUUGAGUACCAACUUUGAAAUUGACACAGUGCUGCAUGUUGAAUAUUUGCUGAAUUGAGUUGAAAUGGGGGAUAGAAAGAUGAAUAGACACAGCCCUUGCUCUUGUGGAGUUCAUGGCCCAGUGGAGAAGGCAUACAUCCUAGCAGGUAAUUCCAAUACAACAUGUUAAAUGCUGUAAUGGUCUUAUGAAGCUCAAAAAAUGAAAUGACUAACUUUGUCUCAAGGAGCUGCUGCAGGUUCUAUAGAGAUGACAUCUAAGCUGAGUGUUAAUGGAUGAAUAAAAACUUGUCUGGUGGAGAAGGAUAGUUUAGGUAUGUUGGCACUUUUGAAAAAGAGUUUCUCCCCACAAAUUAUUUAUAUUUUCAGGUUGUUUUGAUUAAAGUGGAGUCUAGAAAAUUGAAAUAUAAUUGUUAAUGAGGAUCUGAUGUUUGUUUAAGAAACUUUAGUCCAAUGACGCGGGCCUGGAAAUGUCAUUUGAACUGCCUGAGAGAGGAGGAAUGAGGCAGUUCAGAUGGAAGUUUAAAGAUCUCUGGGUGAUAACACCAAUAAAUGGCUCAGAAGCAGAGAGGACAGAACUGUGCUGAUCAAAACUGGAGAUUCAGAGAGAAUGGGAGAAGGCACACUGGCUGGGAAGGAGGCUGGGGAUGAGAGGGGUUCAUGAGGGAAUUUGUGUAAAGGUUUGGAAAGGGGUGGCCUGAAAUCAAGGGCUUCCCGGGAAAGGACCUAGCUUCCUAGGAAAAUAGGGAUGGAAAGGGUACCUCGUGCUGGAGAAUGGCAGCGAGGUAAAGUAGGAAGUUAUGAGAAACAUUGUCAAGGGUCAGGUGAACAAGAGUUGCCAGAAGAAAGGUUAUGUGGAGUCCAGGGAAAGAUAAGCUGAUUGUGUAUUAGUGGGUGAAGAUUUCAUUUUUAAUAUGUGUAAACUACACUCCCCCUGAAAUAGAAAAAAAUAUUCCACAGACCAUAAUUGUUUCUGAGGAAAAGUGGGGGAAAGUCUCAGAUGAGGGAGCUUCUUGGAGGGAAGAGAUUCAGACCUCAACUCCUUCUCCUUAUGAGCUACUGAAAACUUGGGGAGAAGUGAGUGUGGACUAGACUAUAAGUUUCCCUAACAUAAAUGUGAAUGUUGUUUGGAGGUUGCUGAUAUUCUGAGUUGUGACUAUGUGUUGGCAGGCCUGGUAGAUGGAGUUAGGAGUUGGAUUUGCUUCUUAAGCUGUGUGUUCCCAUUUUGGUAGCGGGUGAGCCUCACUAGUAUCAUGAUUGACUUACAGUGAUGUCCAAGCCCUCACCUUUAUGAGACUGGCUAUGAGGCAGAGCAACCUCCAUUUACCCACUGAAAAAGCACUUUUAUAGAUCAAACAGCAGGCCUUUUGUUGUUCUCAAAGGAUAAAACUAGUAUAUUAGAUGAAUAAAAAUGUGGCUCAUGUUGUGAAUGACUUAGAGCGGGUCCUGUGUCUGUCACAUACAACUGGGAUUUGUGGGAGUAUAUGUAUGUAACUUUAGUCACAUGGCACAAUUUUGGGGAAGCCACUCAAUGAACUGAUCAUUUUCUAGUACAUUCAAUGAACUCAUUAAGCAGCCUGCAUCAGAGUUGGCAGCCAUGGCUAGCCACUCCUUUCUUCUCACACUGAGGCAUAAUAAACAAUUGGCUGGCAGAGCUAAGGGAAAUCAAUUCAGGUUUCAAUUUAGGCACAUUAUUUUCUGGCUGAGAAUUGUGUCUGUGGCAUGUGUAUUUAAUUUUAGUCAAUUUUUUUUCUUGCUAAUUUUUUUGUAACCUGAAAGAAAAUUUCGUGGGGCAUAGUGAGAUUUCCUUACUAUGUAAAAAGUGCUUUGUUCUUUAGAAAGCUAUUAGGCAGGAUCUACUAAAGCUAUAUAUUCAUAUUAAAAUAUACAUGCAGAGGCAAUGACCCAGCAAUCCUACUCCUAAGUAUAUACUCCAUGGAAAUGAAAAUAUAUAUGCACCAAAGUAAAUGUACAGGAAUGUUCAUAGCAACAAACCAUGCAUUUAUCAAUACUAGAAUAUUCUGUACAUACAGUGGGAUAUUAUGCAAUGAAAAAGUAUAAACUACACUUACACAACAACACGGAUAAAUGCCCCAAACGUAAUACUGAGUAAAGAAGUCAGACCUUCCCACCUUCCCAAAAAUGAAGUCAGACUAGAAGAGUAGAUUUUGUAUGAUUUGAUUUGUACGAAUUUCAAAAACAGGCAAAAGAAAUUUGUGCUGACAGAAUUCAAAAGUGUUUACAUUUGAAGGGUUAAUGACUGAGAAGGGACCUAUCAAGGGCUUCUGCCAUUCUAUUUCUUGAUCCUGAUGGUGGCUACACAGGUGUAUUUACUUCGUAAAAUGUCGAUAUAUGCACUUAUGAUUUGUGCCCUUUUCUGCAUAUAUAUUUUGAUAUCCAUAAAAAAUUUUAAGAGGUUUGUUUAGUAAUAAAUGUUUUAUUUAUAUUAUUCUAGUCCUGCAAAGAUAGGUUUAAUUAUUUCUUACUUCUUAGCAUAUUAAGGUCAAGUCUUUUGUACAAGAAUUGGAAUUUUUUUCUGUUGUUUUUGUUAAAUACAUAUGUGUAGCAAUUAAUGUUUUCUGAAUUUUAUUAUAUUCUCUACAGUAGUUAAUCUUGUGGCAAACAAUGCUGAAUUUUAAGAGGUGGACUAAGGUAACAAAUUAUGUCAAAGUUUCUUACAGAGUGGAAAAUUUUCUCUUAGCUAAGAGCAUUGAUUGGGACAAAUUAUGUUCUCAAUUUAUGUAUUUUCUUCAGUAUGAGUAUUACGUAGUUCAUUUAAACAUGAUUUGCCUUUGUUACCAUCUUUACUUUCUGUGUUUCUUCCUACUGAAUGGCAUUGCUUGGUAUCCUCCCUUUUUAUGAAGAGAAUUUCAGAUUAUAUUUUCCCUUUCUGUAUGUAUUUAUCCAUAAAGUACAUAUGUAUGUAUGCUUUUUCUGUCUUCUUGUCUUAUAUCAUUGAUGUCUUCCCAGAAAGCUGUGUGUGUGUGUGUAGCAAUAAUAGAGAAAUUGUAGUCAGAGGUUGAAAGGAACUGAGGAUAAUAGUUCACAUCCCAGUUUUCAGAUAGGAGACUCUACCUUCUGAGAAAUUUAGUGUUGUAAAAUAUUCUCUUAAGAACUUGUAGAGACAAUAAAAUUACAAGACCUACGUGAAGCAAAGGAGAUAACAAGCUCUAAUGUUUUUCAACCCUUUCGGCUUGGUAGAAUCAUUGACUGUUAGUACUGGUUGGGCAGAAUGCAGACAGCCUGCAGCUUCAUGGAAAUGUCACUCAGAUUCUCCCAGGUACUGGUGAUCGUGCUCCACAGCUCUAGGCGUGAAGGAGACACCACCCUGAACCUCCAGCUCUCUGCAGAGAGACAGUAGAAGGUGAACUGCCUGGGCCACCUUUGCAGAGAGGGCCCCUGCCUUGCUGGAGAUGGAUUCCCUUUAAGAAGAAAUCUGCGAUGUCUUGGAUUUCCUUCCAUUAUGCUCCGCUUUUAAAUUUUUAAACUUAGCUUCAGUCUUAAAGGCUGUGGUAUAAGAACACAGCUUUCCAAUCUUAUCUAUUUUCCAGUGUAGGAUAAACAUGUUGGGUUUAGUUAAAUUAUGAAUGCUGAUAAUAUUCAUUUGGUACAAUUUAUAUUCUUCUUUUAUCUUUUUAUUUUUGACAGUUUAGACUGGAGCAUAAAGCAUAAUUAUAUUCUUGGCAUCCUCCCUUAGAAGUUUUAAAUCAGUUCAUGAGGUUUUCAGCUCAGCUCCUGUCAUUUAUCCAUCAGCAUUCAGUCCACUUAAUCCCAGCCUCUCAGCUGAGCAGCCCUAGCCCCUGUUGUGAGUGAUUGGCCUGCUCCAGUGCUCCCAGCUUCUCCUGUCACAUCGCAUUUGCAUAAAAGAGGACAGAUAACCAAAUUUGAGCACACAAAUGAAAAUGCUAAGCGCUAAACCUGUCACAGUUGUUGUUCAACUAAUUGUGAAAAAUUUGAUUUGCUCCCCUUUCACUGUUUGUCAUGUGGACCCCCUUCUCAAAUGUGCCUUGGCUUCUGCCUCUGUAUAUGUAGCGUUUAAACUCUUGAGCACAAGCAGCCCACCCUGGGGAUUACUUACCUCUCCUACCAGCUUUUAAUGUUGGCUCAUCUUCUUGACUAAAUUAGGCCACCAUGGCAAACAAACACAUAAUUAAAAACCCAGGAAAGACAACUGCAGUUGCACUUCUUAAAUUGAUUUUUACAAUGCUGGUGUAUGCCUCUGUAUGCUUUUCCAUUUGAUAAUUUUAUUUCUUUAUAUAACCUCUGGUAGGAGAAAAUUGAGGAUGGGUGCUGUAGCAAGCUUUGUUAUUUUGAAACCUGUGUGUUAUUUGUUUCUUACUUUCUGUUUCUCAAAUAACAAAAAUUGUAUAAUGGGUCUUAAAAAGCACAUUUCUAUUCCCUAAUACUUUACCUGACAUGCCAGUAUACAUUUUUAAUCAAGGUUUCAAAUGAUUCCAUUUGAAAUAGUAUUAGAAACAAUGGAUAAAAUUCCUUUGCUUACAACACUCAAUCACAGGAGCUCUGUUUAAAUGGUAUGUGAUAUGGGUGUUUUGAAAAUAUGUAUGUGUAUUAUGUAUAGUCUGGUUCAGUGUUCAUUAUGCAGAGGCUUUAUUCUCUUUUUAAGUUGAUGAUUUCUUUGUGCCCAUGAAAAUAACACAUAUGGUGUGUCUACAAAGUGAAAAAACUUGUUUUCCAGGAGUCACACAAGAAAAUGUCUCUUUUGUUUAGAACAAACCUCUGAUUGCUUGACUGUGUUAACUUGUCCCUAAUAUUUUAGGUAUGUAAUCUUCAGCAACAACGAAGGUGGCAUUAACUAAAGUUGAAACCUUUUAAAGUUGAAUACAGCUUGAAUUACCUUUGAGAAUUGGAGGGUUAUAGUCUUGAUAUUGGGUUGAAGUGAAAUGUGACAUUACUGUGACAGUUUGUGGUUUGCAAAAGUUGGAUGUAACAUCAUGUAUGAUAGUAUUCCUUUGAGAUUUAUUUUUAGUAGGUCAUAAGACAUGGAUUAAUUGAAGAAGUAUUUGAAUAUAUGUAAUUCUAUACAGUCCUAUCCUAAAGAAAACAGUGUCGUUCUCCUUGCCAUAACCCCCUUAAGAUGCUGAGGGAUUAAAUCUAACUUGAAAAUUUGAAUGUAUACUAAUCACAAUGUUUAAUCACAUUUUAGUUCAAAGAAAUUAGAUUAUGGUAUGAAAUGCUCACUAUUUUAAAACAUACAAGAUGGGUAUUAAAGAGGGCACGUUCUGCAUGGAGCACUGGGUGUUAUACGCAAACAAUGAAUCAUGGAACACUACAUCAAAAACUAAUGUAAUGUAUGGUGAUUAACAUAACAUAAUAAAAAAAUACAUGAUAAAUUUAAGAGUUUAACUUUUUUUUUGACAGCUGGAGGAAUAAUUUUAUUCCUUUUACAUUUUGUUUAUACUUCACUAUUUUUAUGUCAUAAUUUCUUUUGUGGGUGAAAAUAUCUGUGAGACUGUAUAUAUAGAUUUAAACUAGAUGUGGCUAGUUACAUAUGAACAAUAUUAAUUAUGAGAUUUCAAUAUCUCUAAACCAAAAAUCUGGAAAGGACCACAGAAUUAAUUUAACCCUCUGGAAAGGAUUGAAUGAAACCAUUAUCAGAGAGAUCUACUCCAUUGCCUGCUUUCAUUCUACUUCCAAGUUGUGCUGAUUCCUCUUCAGUAAUAGUUCUUAAUCUUUAUCCACAUAUAUUUCAUUUUUGCAUUCAUUUAAUUACAGACCUUAUAAUUAUGGAGGCAGCAUUAACACUGUGGUUGUUAAUUGUAUGGGCCUUAGAGCCAGACUACAUCAGUUGGAAACCUGUCUCAUACUCUCAGUACUGUGUGACCUGGGGCAUAACUGGUCGUUACCUCCAGACUUCUCUUCUACAUGACGGAGAUGAUCAUAACACCUUCCUCAUAGAGAAGUUAUUAGAUUUAAAUGAGUUCAUGCAUGUGAUGCUUUUAGAUCAGAAUUUGGCACACUGUAAGUGCUCAAGAACAGUAGCUUUUAUUAUAGUGGAUACAAGAUUAAUGCUUUUCUUUUUGCCUUUGACCUAUUUUAAAUACUUUUCUAAGGUUUCUAAGCAAUCAUAUUUAACAUUUUAAUGGCUUAUAUAUCAUAGUUUACCUAAUAUUUCCCCAACUAUUGGAUAUUCAUAUUAUUACUAGUUUUUAAAAAAAUAUAUUAAUACAGCUAUGUGUAUCUCUGUUCAUUCAGGAUCCUCUCCCCCCAGCACCCCACAUUCCUCUGAGUUAAGUUUCCAGAGGUUGAAAUUUCUGUUUCAUAAGGCAUGAAAAUUUUAAUGGAUAUUGAAUUAUAUUGCAAAAUCCUCAUCCAAAAAGUCUGAACCACUUUACAAUGUUAACUUCAAUCUCUGUCCUCACUUGUGUUGGUCUUGCUAGCAUUUCCUGCCUUUGUGUGCUCAUCAUUUCCAAGUCCUGCCUAUGGUAGUGGACUCCCCAAACUGCUGCGGUCUUCCUUUGCAGUUCAAUGCCUGACACCCACUUCUUCUUCAUUUCACAUUAGAAUAAUUCUUCUUAAUCAUUGUUUUUCUUAUGACACUGUUAGAGUUUUUCUUCUGUGGCUUCUACUUCUUUUUGAAUAAAGUUAGAAGUUUUUAUUAAUUAAAAUAAACUGCUGGACCAGUUAUCAUCUACUAAGCCUACAAUUUCUAUUUUAUUUUAUUAGGAGGCUGUGCGGCCUAGUUCCAAGAAUGCAGGCUUCGAGUCAGACAGAUCCGGUUUGAAUCAUGAUGCUAUUAUUUACCAAGUUGUAUAGCCUCAGGUAAAUUCUCUGAACUUCAGUUCCUCAUUGAGGAUCAGGUAAAUUCUCUGAACUUCAGUUCCUCAUUGAGGAUAAGAACAACACCACCAAACUCGAAUGGUCACUGUCACAUACAUAAGGCAUGUGAAAUCUUGGCUGGCAUUACGCAAUAAUUACUAGUUAAUUUACUCUUUCAAUCACUACUCUAUUCCUACUUUUGCUCUUUUUUCAAAAUAUUUCCUGCAAAUAGUUUCCAUCUUUUAUUUCCAAACCAUUGCAAACACUGAGAUUCUUUUUUCUCUUUGCCGAAUUUCCAUAUUUUUUUUCCUUUGAAAUCAUUUUUGCUCAUUUCUUUAUAUUGGAUCUAGUUGCUUCAACAACUACUCUUAUUUGGGAUUUGAAGAGCUCCCAAAUGGAUGCUUUUGCAUACAGAAGUUUUUAUUUAAUAUUAAACUUCAAUUGGGAUAAAAUGCUGAGGAAAUCUGUGAAUUAAUAUGAAAAUAAAAGUUAUCAGUUGGGUGGGGAAAGGGGAAAAGAGAGAAGAUGUUUAUAGAACCAUUUUUCUUCCCCAGUAAUAAAACCAUUUUUGUUCCUGAAUGGCUCAAAGAUACCCUCCUGGUGUUGGUGCUGGAAGAACUUGGGGUAAAAGAGACAUAGCGGCCAAUGACUCUUUGGCUAAUUACGUUUACAAAGUGCUGUCUCAUCUUGCCCUAUUUAAAAUUUUAAUUGUAUAAAAACACUUCUCUGACCUUAGGAAAUUUACAAGUUGGAAAAAUAAACAAAACAUGUUUUUACAAAUCACAGACAAAGAUUAUGAAAUAAUGCCACCAGCAUGACAUGGCGUAGACCAGGGUUCUCAAACUCAAGUGGUAAGGAAACUGAAGAGUAUAUGUAGUCCCUAAGAGUAUUAAAAUUUAACUUAAAUGAUGGCAACAACACAAUGUUGACAAAACAAAAUACAUCUUGAGUGUCAUUCUGUGGGAUGCUGCUUUGUGACUCCUUGUACACAAAUUAUGUUAUAUUUACAGAGCCAGCCAUGAUUCAGGAAGACUUUAUGGAGGCAUUGGUUCUAGGUUUUAAAUGACAAGUGGGAUUUGAAGAUGGGAGGUUAUAUCUAGCUAGGCAGGGACAAUGUAUAGGGAAAGGCAGAGAAAGAGAAAGUACAUGAUCUUUCCUAAAAUCAGUGAGUGCUUUGAUUUUAUUUGGGAGGGAAUCAUGCCCAUGACAAAAGCUCCACUGAUGAAAAGGAUGUGGGGUUUAUACUGUGUGCCGUGGUAAGUUAUAGAAGGGUCUUCUUCCCUCUCCUGGAGAUUAACCUAACAAAAGUAAUGUUUUGGGAUGGUUGUGCAGGUGGCAUGCUGAAAUCCGGAGAUAGAAAAGCCUAGAGAAAAGGAGACCAGUUAGAAGAUGGUUUCAGUGGUCCGACUGUGAGGUACUGGGUAUCAUGGUGGUAAAGAAUAGAAAGGGAGGAGCAUACAAAACAAAGAUUUCAUAAAAAGAAUUAAAUAGGCCUGGGACCAGAUAAAAUUUAGAGCCAGGAGAGAUGAAGAAAUCAAAGUUCAUUGACAAUUCAAACUUGGUCAGAAAAUUAACUAAAAUAAUGAAACCAAGAGAGCUAGCUUUGGCAGAAAUGCUACAUGCGAUUCUAAAUUUGUGAAGUAAGAUAUUCAAGAUAUUCAAGAUAUUCAUGUAGCUGGCUGGAUGAUCUCAUUGAGAUUGGAGGUGUGGAUUUGGAGACCAAAUUCAAAAGUUACAUGGAAGGAGGAAAUAGAAAAUAAUUGGGAUAUAACUUGUUUUAGUAGUUUGACAGUGAACUGGAAACUGGAAGGGGCCAGUAAAAUAGGGGCACCUCUUUCCUAUGGGAAGGUAAUUGUUGUUGGUUGUCCCCUGCCCAGUACAAAUCACAUGAUCAUAUUGACUGAAGUCCAAAUCCCACAUUUCCUUGGAUCUGAGAACUAGGUUCCUUUUUUGCUGCUUUGUGGACAAAAAAGAGAGGGAACCCCCUUUUUUCUUGCACGAGGUAAGAUCAGAGUUUCGAGUGGGAAAAGAAGCUACCAUAAAUCCAUGAAAUUGUGUGUGAAUUAAAAAUGUUUUAGCAGGAUUCUUCUUUUGUGACCUCCAACAGCUGCUUUGAAAAUUUGGAAUUUUGUUAAGUGUUUUAUUGGAUUUUUUAAUGUAAUGAGAGCUUUUCAUUAAGAGUUUUGAGAAUUAUAAUUGCUAAGACCCAGUCACUGCACAAGUGAUUAUUAUACUCAUUCACAGCUGUGGUGGGCAUUAGCACUCCUCUUCACUGUCUGGUUCUCCUCUACCUUCCCGCAGAUGGGUGGGUGGCUUUUCUCCCCCUGCUGCCCUGAGGAUGGGUAUGCCAUGUGGUUUGCUUUGGCCAAGGAGUGUGAGUGGAAGCAGUGGGUCAGUUGUGGCUCAGCUACCCAGCCUGCUCAUCCCUCCCACUGCCGUCAGCCACGGACAUGCAGGUUGGUAUGGAGAUGCUUAGUGGCUAAAGCAGGUGAGAACGAAGGCAGCACGUGGAGAUGAGCUAUGCUGCAGUGUUGUCUAUCAUCUGUUGUCUGGGAGAGUAAGAGAGAAACUUUUGUUGGACUUUUUUUUUUAAACCAUGGCAUAAUCUGGUUUAUCAUUGUUAAUAAAAUGACUGGAUUAAAAAAAAUUUAACAAAAAAGGAGUUGUAGGAUGCCUAAAAGGUCUCCAGUUACCUGAAAUUUUUAUAAUAGUUCAGUGUAUGAAUCCUUACACUUCGUCAGAUGUAUAGUUUUAUAAUCACAAUAAUCAUGUGUACAAAGGAUGGUAAUAAGCACUGUGCUGGGGUGCCUGGGUGGCUCACUAGGUUAAGCGUCUUCCUUUGGCUCAGGUCAUGAUCCUGGGGUCCUGAUGGGAUUGAGCCCCACUGUCUGUCUGUUGGGCUCCCUGCUCAGUGGGGAGGCUGCUUCUCCCUCUGCCCCUCCCUGCCAGCCCCACCCACUGCUCAUGUGUGCUCUGUCUCUUGCUUUCUCUCUCUCUCAAAUAAGUAAAAUCUUUUUUUUUUUUUUUAAGAUUUUAUUUAUUUAUUUGACAGAGAGAGAGAGAUAGCGAGAGCAGGAACACAAGCAGGGGGAGUGGGAGAGCGAGAAGCAGGCUUCCUGCGGAGCAGGGAGCCCGAUGUGGGACUCGAUCCCAGGACCCUGGGAUCAUGACCUGAGCCGAAGGCAGACGCUUAACGACUGAGCCACCCAGGCGCCCCAAAUAAGUAAAAUCUUAAAAAAAAUAAAUAAAUAAGCUUUUGCUGUGUGCCACUGCCUAUUCUAAACCCUUGUAAGCUCUGUGCAUCUCUGUUUAGCCCUUUUGACAAUCCUAAGAGGAGACUUCUGUUAGUCAUUUAUAGAUGAGGAAACUAAGGAUAGAGAGGAUUCUUAACUUGCCCAAGGUGGGUUCAAGGUUGAAAUCCAAGUCUCUCUGAUUUUAGGUUCUUUGUGCUUAGCUGCUGCAAAAUGGCCUCUGGCCGUCUUCAGGAAGGGUAAGCUGUACUUAAUACUCUGAAUGUCUGAGUGUUGUGGAUCCUGUAGUUCCUCAGUGUAAAACCUGGCUUCUUCUUGUAUUGUAAUUAUGUGCAUCAAACUUUCAACCUUGAGAUCCUUUCUGCUACUAAUUAUGCUAAUUAGUAAAUCAUUGAACUGAAAGACAAGAUCCAGAUUAUUUUGAAGAAUAGCAGUUUGUGAAGAUGAGAACCCUUUAUUAGCCUAUAGGUGGGAAUCAGGCACUGCUAAGUCAGAGUGGUUUACAGUUGAACUAUGAGAAGUCAUUUAAUGGUUGAUUUUAUACAUACAGGAAUGGAAAACAAAAAACAAAUACUAGGUGUAUUGUCCCCCCAGAAAGGACAAAUACUAGGUAUGAGGACUCAGAGAUGAAUAAGCAUAAUACCUUAAGGAGCUCACAAUCUAGUGAUUAUGAGACACCAAUAAUAAUAGCAAUAACAUCUAAUAUUUUUGACAAUUAAAAGUGAGCCAGUAUACUAAAACCCAGCAAAUUGUGCAUUUAAAAAAUAUAUUCUUGGAAUUUCACAUACAUUUCCCAUUUAAUGUUCAAAUUAAUCUUAUGUAAUUGUUUUCCACGUUAUAAAAUACAUAAAAUACCUGAACUUCAGAGAGGUCAGUUAAAUUACCUGAGGUCACACUGUAGAUGGUGGAUGAUGCCCAAUUUUGUUAGACAUCAAGGCCUAUGCCUUUCUUUUCUUCACUAGUAUUUCUAAAAAUGUGUUAGGUCUAUAUUAGUGGCACAUUACCAAUUUUAAUGCAGUAUAUAAGUAUCUUAUUUUAAGAGUUAUGGUUUGUAUAGUUUCUACUUACUGGAAGUGAUACUGAUUUUCCACUUACAAUAGUGAUAUGUAGUUUUAUUUUAAAAUACAUAUUUCUAGGUGGAAAAAUUAAUUUUUUUUAAAGAUUUUAUUUGUUUAUUUGACAGAGAGAGAGAGUACAAGCAGGGGGAGCAGCAAAGGGAGAGGGAGAAGCAGGCUCCCCGCUGAGCAGGGAGCCUCCUGCAGGGCUCGAUCCCAGAACCCCAGGAAUAUGACCUGAGCCAAAGGCAGACUCUUAACUGACUGAGCCACCCAGGCACCCCUGAAUUGAUUUAAAUAAAAAUAGUAUUCGGGUAUGCAAAAAUUGUGAACAGGGCAAUCAAGUGCGUAAGUGUGGAAAGCAGUGUUCUAGGCCACACUGUACCAUAGCUACCAAAAGGCUGAGGGCUGGGACUAUGCCAUGCUAUGGUAACAAACAACUCCUAAAUCCAAGAGUUUAAGAAAAAUGGUUCAUUUAUUUAUAGCUUACAUUAUAUAUCUAACAUGAUUGGUAGCGACAGAGGUGGAGCUGGAGGUGUUUCUGUUCCAUGCAGUCACUCAGGAAACUAGACUGACAGAGAUCCCACUAUUUUAUAUCACUCAUCUGGAGGCUGGAGGAUUAAGGGGAACCAGAUCCAUGAAAGGUUAAAGAGUUUGGACCUUAUCCUGAGGGCAAGAGGGAUUAGUGCCUUUAAUGCCUUUUGUUCUAUUCAUUGCAAGCAAGACAGUGUCAUGGCCUAAGAAGAUAAUACAAUAUGUUGCCUCAGGACCCAUCACUAAGAUUUUUGUGAUUCAAACUUAAUAUAUGAAAAUCCAGGCUUAUACUGCAAAUAAACAUGGGGAUUGUUCAAAUUGCAAAAGGGUUCUUUGCUUAAAUAAAGAAUUAAUUGUAGGGUGCUUUUUAAGUGUAAAUAUCCCUUAGUAUGUACUGUUUGAAAUAUUGAAAUGAAUAUUUAUUUACUUCUAUGUAAACUCAGCUUCUUAGAAGCUCUUCUGUAGUGGGGACUUUCACCUGUUUCACAGUGAAGGUAACAGUGUAGCUUUAAAAUGUGAAUGUUGUUCUCAUUAACAUUAGUAACAAAAUGGAUUUUCUUUUCCCCAUGUGAAUGCAAUGAAAGCAAGUGUAAUUUAGAUUCUAAGCAUUGUAACAAAUACAAAUUUGAUAGGCAGGGACAUUUCUUUGGUGAUUAUUUGAGCUGCCAAACUCUUGGUUUAUGUUUCUAUAAUAGCCCUUACCAUGUUUUAUUACCUGCUUACAUGGCUGUCUUCGUCACUAGCUUCUUGAUGGCAGGAGUCAUUAACUUUGCCUUUCCAGCACCUGACACAGAUCCUAGCUCUUAGUAGGUGCUCAAAAAGCAUUUGCUGAGUGACUAAAUAAACACCUUGCAUUUUUCAAACCAAGUUCUGAUGAGGAACACUUUCCCAGCACGUUUUACCUUUGCCAACCAUGACUUUCUUUUUAAUUCAUCAGUUCUUACCUCUCUUGGGAUUGCACCUUUGCUAGAGAGAACAGCUAAAUCUUUAAGUAAUCCAAGACAAAUAAGAAAUACACUUCAAGAGAGCUAGUGCAUCCUUAAAUUGUUGAUUCCUGUGCCUGAGUGAGAAAAGUAGGUGUAUCUGUGUAGUUAAGAAAUAAAUUCUAGGCAACCUUAGCAUAGUUGUCUAGUUUUGAAACAUUAAGGCCAAUUUAUCAGCCAUUACACUCUAGUUAAGUACUAAUCAAGUUUAUGUUUCUCCUCCAAGCUAAGUAGUAGAGAAGAACUCUGAUUGCAGGGGAAUACUAAAGCCAUCUAUUACACAGCCUUGAAAUGCUUGUGACUUUAAUUUCUACAAAGAGCAUAUGCUUAUUGUGUUUAAAUGUCAGUUUCACAAAAGCCAUACGUCUCAAGUGGGGCAAUCAAAUAAUUGGAAAUUAAUUUGCAAAAAAUUGAGUCCUUGCUUUAUCACCUCCCACUUCACAUGCAUUUUUUUUUUCCUUUUAGGUAAAUUUCUAUUCUGUCUCUUUAUUAGUGAAGCACAUGCAUGGAUGCGGCUUCCAAAGUCUCUACCACUUGCGCUGUUGAGAGCUCUAGCUCCCAGAUGAUCUCCAUUCCCUCUAUUCAAGCUUAAGCAUCAUUUGUUAUCCCUGAAAUUUAUGUGACAAGCCAGAAUUGUGGCCAUGUAUGCAUUUGCUUCUGAGAGUGCAAAACUUUCAAAGCAAAGAGGUGGAAAGCAGAUGCACUCAGGGCUCAGAUUAGCACUGGAGCUCAGUAAUAAGGGACCUGCCAGUAAUUAAACCACCUCAGAAUAAUGAAAUGAUUGUACACAGUACGGAGGGAGCUCCAUCACUAGAUUGCCUACCAUAGCCAAAAGAAAGGAGGACCUGGGCUUUGAGAGAAGCAGUGACGUGCAGACAUUUUCUUUUGAGACUUCUAAUGAUACUGUUCAGAGGCAUUAAAUCAGGACAUUUUUAUUUAGAUGAAUUACAACAUGGGGGCCGCAGUUUGUACUUUGUAUACUUUCUCCAUGUUUUAGAGCAUCUAAUUCUAGGGACCAGUUUUUUGGAGUUCUUUGUUAAUCAGAAAGGCUCUAUGUAAACCAGAAGGAAUUUCCUGGGGUGGAGGUAGGGCUGGGGACCAGCCAUUGUCUGAGCCUCAGCUCAUGGGAUUGUAGUUCAGUUCAGAAAGCAACACUUAAAGCUAUUUAGAUGGAGGGGAGUGAGUAGGGAUGAAGAGACCAAUUAACCAAUUUUUCUUGGCCUUUCCUCACACAUAGACACAUUCUGUACAACACCCCAGUUUUGAUGUAUUAUUUUAAUUAAUCCUAGUCUUUUGAUUCCUGCAGAAAGAAGGUUAGCAAAUGUAACAAUGCUCGGGAGUUUCUUUAUCGUAAAAGACACAUAAUUUCAAGCAUUUAAUAAGGUAGAUUUAUUCUGGGUAGUUUAGCUUGCACAUUCACUCAAACAGCCCUCCCCAAAGACAACAUUAAAAAUGUGAUUAGUUAGCUGCCAUCAAUAACACAAAAUAGGAAAAUGCUCUCUGAAGGGACAGCUUUGUGGAGGGCACUGCACAGUGUGUAGUAAAAAUAUAUGGCCUAAUAAGUUUACAUUUGCAGGCUCAUUUGUUAAAACUCUUGAAUUUCUAAUUUGUGUCGGAAAGAUAAAUGGACGGAGCCACAGCAAAGUGUGAGAUUAAUACUGAUGGAUGGGGAUUCAGUUUUUUGCUAGCCUUAGUUCCACACAACCCAGUAGGCAGUUUAUAGGAAAGCCAAAUGUAAAUAAAAAGGACAUUAUUUACUCUGGUUAGACCACUUGCCAGUUAUUUUGUUCCUUUCAACCCUACAGUUAAGGAAAUUUCUGUAAUUUAAUUAUUAUAGUUCAGUAAUCAAAAGGCCUACAAUUUAUAAUUUGAUUGGUCCCCAGAAGCUCUGUUAUGUAAGGGGCAGUUAGGGAUUGUCUUUCUUACUGUAUUUCAAUAAAAUAUUUCCUCAGUCAUACUAUCCCUAAAAAAAAAAAAAAUUCUGAGUACAACAUCCAAAGAAGACAUGGGUUCUGAAGAAAAGCAGAAGAAUAGGGGCUUUUUCAUAGUCAAGGAUUUAGGAAAACAAAAUGAGAUUCUGUAGCAAAGGAAGUUGGUAGUAGAAGGUAAAUUUAAUGCCUCCCUUUGCCAUCUUAAACCUCCCCCUUCCAGGGCACAACACUCAAGGCUUUAAGUAGCCUUCCGGCAUGGAGUGUCCUAAUGCCUCUGUGUCAGUGAUGACCAUUGGGGCACAUAGGGCAGCAACGCUCGGCGGCAGAGAGAGGGACUCAGUACUCAAAACACUUAGUUUGACAAAAACCUCUCUCAAAUCAAAAGAUGCAUGCUCAACACAUUUGUAAACUCAGCUCUUUUGACUAAAGCUGGACAUAUUUCUAUUUAUGAAACUUGUUCUAAAUUUUGUGCAAGUCUAUCAAAAGGUCUACAUGGAGGGGUGGAAAUCAGCAAGUCUGCUCCCUUCUUUCCAUUCCUCUUCUCUUUCUCUCCCUCCUUCCUUCUCUUCUCCCUCUCUCACCCUCCCUCUCUACCCCUCCUCUCUACCAGGACUUUAUCACACACCUGAAUCUCCUGCAGAAAAUCUUCAGUCUUCCCUGAAUUUCUCACUGAUUCCACUUGUCUCAGCAAGCCCCAAGAAUUAGUGUGAAAGAGCUUUGGCCAAGGGAGCAGAAAAAUCUGGAAGGUGGCUCUGGCUGUACGGCUUAAAAGCUGUGUGAUGGGCAAGUCGCUUAGCUUCUCCGAGACACAUUUUCCUCAUCUCUAGAAUGGGGACAGUAUUUAUUGUAAGAGCUAUGUAUAUUGUAUGUAUGGGAUAAACAUAUAACUGCUUUGGAAAGUAGUUUAAUUCUCUAUAAUAAAGCUGAAAAAUAAUCUUAAAAAUAUUAAAAAUUGUAAAGGAAAAAGUUUUAAAAACCAAAGUUUGGAUUGAGUGGCCAUGUCUGUAGGUGUUGAAGGUACCCAUAGAGCACCUCCAUCAACAUGAUGCCUGGGGUCAGUGUUAACAGGUGUUGGCUGACUCAGAAGGGCUGCGUAGGGGGUUCUAGUGUGGGGCAGGAGGUAGGCCUCUGCUCCCACUACUUCUCUGCAAUGUAAGAAGCCCAGGCUAUAACUGUGGUGUGCUUUGGCCUCAGGCCAGUGGCCUCCAGGCCUGGACUGGCCUCUCCUGAGCCCCAGUAGCAAUUUUAAGCCUGGGGCUCCCUGGAGAAGUUUCUGAAUAAACUACAUCUGUCCAUCUGGCACUGUGCAGCUCGGUUCUUCAAAGAGCCAUCUCUCACCAGCAGUUCAGCUAAGGCUAAUUCUAGUGCUGAUUUGGUUUUCUGUUCUCUGGUUAGAUCAGUCCUGGGAAUGUGGCCUUGUCUGGAGAUCUAUUGCUCUUCUAAUCUGCUUAGAAAUUAGCAGGUGGUACUUUCAAGUCAAGCAAUUACUAUGCUUUUAAAAAGGCUCUCCUUGGGGUGCCUGGGUGGCUCCGUCGGUUAAGCGCCUGCCUUCGGCUCGGUCAUGAUCCCAGGGUCCUGGGAUCGAGCCCCGCAUUGGGCUCCCUGCUCCACAGGAAGCCUGCUUCUCCCUCUCCCACUCCCCCUGCUUGUGUUCCUUCUCUCGCUGUGUCUCUCUCUGUCAAAUAAAUAAAUAAAAUCUUUAAAAAAAAAAAAAAAAGGCUCUCCUUUCAUAGGAAUGCAAGAAAAUGGUCUUCACUUAAGUUGAAGAGGUGACUCAGAGUCAGGUGUUUGGCUUCUGCGGUGGAGUGUGAAGGAGUGGAGGCAUUGUCAGGACAUAUAACCACACACUGGAUUUGGUGAAAGGGCAAAAAAUCCAAAUAUAUUGAAAUUUUUUUAAGGGGAGACAUCAGUCCUAAAAAACGAAGCAAUAUGUAGAAUGAAGAUGAGAGGCUUCUGAAAUUUUUCUUUGGUGAAUAUUAUUUGUCGGGGACUCAAAGCUGCAGAUUACUUUAGGAAAUUCUAGGAGUAGAUUUAGCAUGCACUUAAGGCCCCCUUGCUUAGGGCAAAAUUAGAAAGGGUAUAAAAUACAGAGGAGAGGUAUUCUCUCCUUUUAUAGGCACUUGAUCUAAGACACUAUGGGAAUCUAUGCUGAUGAGUGAAUCCUCCUUUCAAGUCUAAAAUGGAGAUAAGAGCCUUUUCAGGGUCUUCCUAGGUGAAUUUGUGGUAAAACAUGAAGAAGCAGAUUAAUUUUGAAACUUGCAGGACUAUAUUCUCUUACUUAAAAAUUCUGAACGGUUCCUUCUUACCUACAAGAGAAAAAUCCAAGGCUCUUAGCUCAGCAUACUAGACCCUUUGUAAUUUACUCCUCAAACUUGUCUUUUCAGCCUUAUCUCUUACAUUUGCUACCAGUGCAUUCUGGUCUCAGCUACAGGGAAACCACUUAUAGUUUCUGAAAACACUGUGCUUGCAGGCCAUGCCUUUGUAUUCAGAUGCUGUCCCUUGGACUGGGAUGUUGCUCUUAGCUUCUGCUGAUGCUGUUCCUCCCCUAAACUUCAAGGCCAAGCUUAAAUGCUGCCUCAGAUGGAGCCAGUGAGCAGUUUCCUUCCCUUGGCUCCUGCUCCAUGCUUUCUUCUGUCACUCAACCAUUAUCUGCAGUUAUCCCUUUGGCUGUUGUUUCUGUGCAUAAACUGUGACCCCUUCAAAGAGGGAAGCUGUGCUAUUGUCCCCAGACAUAGCGUAAGGACAAAGGCACAAGGAACCUGAAGGAAAGACAUUGUUCCCAAUUAGUGCCUUGGUGUUUUUGUGACUGGGAUAGAGACAAGAUGGCCACUGCCAGAACUCAGUCACUUGAGUGUCAUGGCUAAACACAUUUACAGAUACUUUUUAAAGUGCGUGUGUUUGGGGUAGGUUGGGUGGGAGGUUGGCUAAGCCAGAAAGCAAAGGCAAAUUUAAAUGCUUGGGAUUGGGGCGCCUGGGUGGCUCAGUUGGUUAAGCGACUGCCUUCGGCUCAGGUCAUGAUCCUGGAGUCCCGGGACUGAGUCCCGCAUCGGGCUCCCUGCUUGGCAGGGAGUCUGCUUCUCCCUCUGACCCUCCUCCCUCUCAUGCUCUCUGUCUCUCAUUCUCUCUCUCUCAUAUAAAUAAAUAAAAAUCUUAAAAAAAAAUUAAAAAUAAAUAAAUAAAUAAAUGCUUGGGAUGAGCACUUGGCAUGGAAAUCGGGUAUAACAUUUCCCAUCAUUAUUCAGAAAGGCUUAUAUAUUUUCGAGAAACUUUUCGACUCAUUAAUGAGCAUGUUUGUGGCGUUUUGCUCUUUAAUGUGAUAAAAAGGAAUAUAAUUCUUCAGGUGACAGAUCUCUGUUAAUAGGUCAUAAGAGACUAUAUAAUGUUAAUUUCCAUAAAGCACAGUGUAAAUGAAUGUUCUUUAUUUGGAGGCCAUAGACUUUCACAUCUGAAAUUCCAUUCAGUCAGACAAUAAGGAGUUCUAGUUCCAGUGUCAGUAAUCAAUAACUCGAAUCCCCCAGAAUCAAACAACCUGUCAGUCCCUUGUUUAAUCAGAAUUUUAGGAAGGAUUAGUUCUGUAAUGAAUCCUUGUAAAUUUGCUUUCAGUCUUCUCCAUGUUGAUGACAUCCUUGCAUAUGUAUAUCCACAUUUGCCUCUCAGUGGGAAUGCAUAUUUGACAUUUCAAAGACUACAAAAUAUGAUCUGGAAAAUAAACACUGCUGUAGUAAUUUUGAUGGUUGAUCAUCUAUUUAAUGUAAUGUCAGUUAACUUUGAGACUGUAUAUUAGGCUGGCUUGAUUUGUUAUCAAUUUUCAAUGCUAUUUAGCAUUCUAAACAAAAAACAAAAACCCCAGAAGAUCUAGGAAGGAUGAAGGGCAAAGAUGGACUUUUUUCUUUGUGGGAAGAAUGGGCAGGUAUUUUCUAGCAUCUCAAAAUAGGUUAUUUUGAUUAAUUGUAAGACACGAAAGGCAUUUUAUAUUUUCAAAUUUAAGGAAAUGAUAUUCCAGACAAUGGACCUAUUGCUUUAUUAUUUAUUUUGUUCCCCACCCUGCCCCCUCUGAAGAGAACAAAGACCUCUCUUUUUGGUUGUAUUGAUUCAUAAAAAACAACCUCCUAUGGAAUUCUAUAAAUAGGUGUUGAGUUUUGUGCUUAUGACAUUAUUGCUUUUGUGAAAAUGUUUAGGAUUUUUUUUUUUUUUAUUUUGUUUUUUAACUGAGUGAUUAAAUGUCAAAUAGACCCAGUUUUAGAAUUGAGGUUGCAGAUAUAUUUUAGAUCCUGAUUAUGUGAAAAACUUAACUUGGAAUGUAGAAACUUUCAUGUCUACCUAAUUCUAUCUUUUGAAAAUACAGAUAUGGGGGCACCUGGGUGGCUCAGUCAUUAAGCGUCUACCUUCGGCUCAGGUCAUGAUCCCAGGGUCCUGGGAUCGAGCCCCGCAUCGGGCUCCCUGCUCAGCGGGAGGCCUGCUUCUCCCUCUCCCACUCCCCCUGCUUGUAUUCCUGUUCUCGCUGUCUCUCUCUGUCAUAUAAAUAAAUAAAAUCUUUAAAAAAAAAAAAAAAAGAAAGAAAAUACAGAUAUGAAUUUAAGUAUCUCACAUAUGACAUUAAUCUAAAAAGAGCAGAUAAUUCCCAUUCCAUUUCAACAAACAUUUGGUGUAUGCCUACUGAGAUCACCAUUAUGAUGACUGCCCCCUUGGCCUGUGUUGUUCAUUAUAAAGGUAUGUGUUUAUGGGCAUUUAGAACUUAAGAAAAAGAAAGGAGAAAGGAAUGGAAUGGUUGGAAAGGAAUAUUAAUUUCAAAAAAUUAUUUUCUAUUUUUAUCAAAAGAACACGCACAAUUUAAAAUGUCAAGGCUUUUAAUGGAGGCUUAAAACAAAUAUGAGAGCUCUCUACUGUGUUCUUUCUUACCCCUCAGUCCUGCUUCUCAGAGACUGCUUCCUUGAAGUCUUUUAAUUGUUUUUUAUGGUUUUUAUUUCUGUAUUUCUAGAUAAUAUGCUCAUAUUUCUAUUCAAAUUGGUUUAAUCAACUUUAAUUUAUCAAUUUUGGAAACAUCUAUUGACUUGCUAUUGUGGUAGGUGAAGAUAUAUUUCUCUUCACUGUCCCCUCUCUCCAUACCAAUAGAGUUAUAUUACCCUCCUUCACUAUAGUUAUCUCAUAAUUUUUCAUUUAAAAACUUUAGUGUUUACAUUGUUCUGACUUUUUUUUUUUUUUUUUUACUGCUGGGCAAAAUAAUGUACUAUGGCUAGGUUUCUUUUCCAAUUAAAAUUAUUUUCCUGGUACUAAUAAUUGUCAAUUUUUCUCUUGCUAAUUUUUCUGUGUUAUUUUCAUGAAUUUUUCCUAAUCCACGCUUUAAAGCGAUCACAUGUAUCCAUUGAUCUAGCAAGUCCUUUUUUCCCUGGCCUCCCCUCUGACAUCCCUCCUGUCGCCCUUCAUCUACUGACUUCAGUCUGGGAAUUCUCUCACCUGAUGUAAUGUCAUCAUUCCUUGGGUCCUCCCUUUGUUGUCUGCCUAAGUUAUCUUUUAUUCUCCUGUGUUUGAUCCUCUAAUUCCUGGAUCCCAUGUCUUCUUUCCCUGUCUUUCUUUCCUUCUUUCCUCUCAUUUUAGUGGAGGGUAUAUCAGUAAUUUAUGGGAAAGGGUACAUGGGAAAUAAAUGAUUUGGGAAGUUGUAUGGCUGAAAAUAUUUUUAUCCUACUCUCACUCUUGCCUGAUAAUUUGAGUGGGUAUAGCAUAUGGGGUUGGAAAUAAUCAUGCCUUAGAAUUUUAGAGCUAUUCCUCCAUUUCUUAUAGUUUCUAACUUUGCUAUUGAGAAGCCUAAUGCAUUUUGAUGUUUGUUUAUUCAUAUAUGAAUGGUCUUCUUUCUGGAAACUUUUAGAAUCUUCUGGUUUCUUAGGUGUUCUGGAAUUUAAUGACGUGAGGGCCUUUUUCAUUUAUUGUGCUAGAUUCUUGUUGACCCUUCCCAUCUGAAGGUUCCUGUUUCUUUAGUCCUGAGAAAUGUCCUUUAAUUAUUUCUUUGAUAAUUUCCUUUUCUUCAGACGUUUUCUCUCUUCAGAACUUCAGUAUUUGGUUGUGGGGCCUCCUAGCCUAAUCUCUCAAUUUUAAAAAAUAUUUAUUUCUUCUGUCCCAUUAUCCACCACCUUGAUUUUUGUCUUAGGUUUUUGAAUGUGACUUCAACUUUGUCUUCCAAUCCUUCUAUUGAGGUCUUUUUAGAUACAGUUUUAUUAUUAUUAUUACUAUUAUUUUUAUUUUAUUGCAAUAUAGUUGACACAUGAUAUAUUAGUUUCAGGUGUAUAACAUAGUGAUUUUACAACUCUUAUACAUUAUGCUAUGCUCACCACAAGUGUAGCUACCAUCCACCACUCUACAUCCCUAUUACGUUGACUAUUCCCAUUGACUAUAGUCCUUAUGCUGUACCUUUUGUCCCCCUGACCUAUUCAUUCCGUAACUGGGACCCUGUACCUCCCACUCCCCUUCACCCAUUUGCUCAUCCCCCAACCCUUCCGCCGCCCUUGGCAACCAUCAGUUUGUUCUCAUUCUCUGUAGAUGCUCUCAGUUUUACCUACUAGGGUACUUUCAUGUUCUCUGAGUGCCUUCUCCUUAUCUUUAUAAAAAUAGCAUCUUUUUUUGUUUUAUAGGUGCAACCUUCUCUUUUCAUUCCUCUAAGGAUAUUUGUCUUCUUCCCUCCCUCCCUCUCUCCCUCGCUUCCUUCCCUUAUUUCAGUAUUCUUCUAUUCCCAGUAAGGUCUUUGUUCCUCCAACUUUCCUUCCAUUUCUUUUUUUCUUUCUUUCUUUUUUUUGGUAUUCUAGAUUUAAUUUUGGAGGGGUUUCUCAAAUUAUGAUGAUAUGUGUUUUUAUUGGAGUUCAAUUAGCUGACCCAUUUAAUUGAAAGUUCUGAGUAUGAGUGGGGCUUAUCAAGUAGUGAGGUUUUUCAAGAGUGACUUUGUGGCUAGCCUAUAAAUUUUUUAGGAGUGGUGUUAAAUAUCAGUUUCUCUGGGGAAUUUGAUUUUCUUGGGAAAACAUUCUUGAUUUUCUUUUUUGGGGUAAAAAGUGGGGAGUACAAACUUGGUUACCAGGAAUCUGAAACCGAGGAGUUAAGGGCUUGCUGAAGGGCUGGUGUCUGUUUUCAGUCUGACAUCCAUGGUGCCUGUAGCCUCUCUGAUUCAAUUUCCCCAGAUAUCAGAUUCUCCAAUAAACUCCCUUGAGGGGUUGGGGAAGGAUGGUCAUUUGGCAUCACAUAGUAGAGAUGGGUUAUUUGGACAUUUCAUCCAUUGCACCUUUUUUCAUCCCCAUGUCUAGCCUCCAGUUGAUAUAUACUUGAUAUCUCUAAUUAUUGAGACUCUCUGGGGCUCUGUGACUGGUGCAGCUUGCUUCUUGUUGGAAGAUGUGCAGAUUUCAGCUCCUAAAAGUCAAAUAGGGCACCUAAAGGCUUUUCAUUUUCUGUUCUCUUUUUCCUUGUAGGUUUAUGAUUUUCUUUUUAUUCUUUAUUGUUUUUAGUGUGGUCUUUGGAGGAAGUGGAGAUAAAAUACAUGUUUAACUGACAUGUUUGUUUAUUUACUUUUUUAAAACUGAUAUGUUUAGGGGCGCCUGGGUGGCUCAGUCGUUGAGCAUCUGCCUUCAGCUCAGGUCAUGAUCCUGGGGUCCUGGGAUCGAGCCCCACAUCGGGCUCCCUGCUCCGCAGAAAGCCUGCUUCUCCCUCUUCCACUCCCCCUGCUUGUGUUCCCUCUCUCGCUGUGUCUCUCUCUGUCAAAUGAAUAAAUAAAAUCUUAAAAAAAAAAAACCAAAAAACUGACAUGUUUAAAGAGAAGUCCAAACAUUUAACUUAAUAGUAGUUCUACUUGUACUCUGCAGGAUACUUUAUAGGUAUCUAUCAUCACAGCAAGCUUCCAAAGGAGAUAUUAGCAUCUUUACUUUGUAAAUGAGGAAUCUGAUUUUUGGAAGAAAUAGAAUUGGUUCAACUUCAUCUGAUGGGUGAGUUACUAAGAUUGGGUUUUAACUCUGUGCAUCUGACUCCCAAGCCUCAUCAUUCUCUGUGGUGCCAUAGUACCUCUUUUUCAUGGGAAAGAUAUUAUGUUAGGUCUUCAUUUUACCACAUCCAUAGGGCCCAACAGUGUUCCAGUGUUUUUACAAUUUUGCUUGCAGGAAGCAGAGCUAAGAUUUUGUCCUUGGACAGACAACCUCUUGAUGAGCACUAGGACAUCCCCGCUUCUUGUUCUUGUGCUCAGGUAGCCUUCCUGUACCUCACUUACCUCCUCUUUGGGGCUCUCCCUUUGGUGAAUCACAGUCUCUGUGUCACUCCCAGUCUUGGGUCACCUCUGUUCCCAAGUGUUACUCUGGUCCUGGCUUCUACUUCCCCAGAUGAUGAUUUUACGCACACUCUGCUCUCCUCCAGCUUUAACUCUCUUUCCCCUACUUGUGCUCAACUAAUGACCUUGUUUUUUGUUUUUUUUUUAAUCACUGAGAAAAUGGAAGCUAUCAGAAAAGAACUUCCAUAUCUUCCUUCUAUCAAAUCUACUAACCUGUAUCCAAAUCAAGCACCUUAUAUUCUCUCGUUGCACUGACUUAACUGUCCGUCCUUCUAAUUUAGGCCAACUCCAUCUUGAGGCACUGGAUCCCUGACCUUUUAGCCAACUGAAGACUCUUGCAUCAUCAUUUUUUCCUUCUUUAUUGGAUCAUUUCUAUAAACAUACAUUAUGGUAUAAUAUUCUCCAUUUAAAAAAAUCCUGCCUUCUGAUCCCUCAUCUAGCUACACUUCCAUCUCUCUCCUCCAUCUUACAGAGAAGUUCCUUGAGUUGCCUAUAUUUGUUUUCUUCCCUUUUCUUUUUGUAUUAUUUCCUGGAUCUUUUCAAAUCAGGCUUUUGCACUUAGCACCCCAUUGAAACUGCUUCCAUCAAGAACACCAAGAACUACCACCCUGCCAAGUCCGCUGGACGAUUCUUAGUGCUUAUUUACUAGAUCGGCAGAAUUCCACUCUGUUGGUUUCUGCCUUCUCUUGAAAAUAAUGUCUGCAUUUGGCUCACCCUCGUGGAUUUUCAUUUCUCCUCCUGACUCCACAAACUGGACUGCCCCAAGCUCAGUCUCUAGCCCUGUUUUCCUUUCUUUGAAUUUUCAUUUCCUAGAUGAUACAUCCAUUUCUGAGGCUUUAAUAUCAUCUAUAUACUGAUGCUGCUAACAUUAGUUUCUCCAUCUUGAACUUUCCUCUCAACCUCAGACUUGCAUUUUCAACUACCUGCUCAUCAGCUUGACUGUUGUUUAACAGACUUGUGAAAUUUAACAUGGUCAAUAAAACUCAUGAUUUUUCCCCUUCACACCCAUUCUUCCAUCACUGUCCCUCAUUUUUUUUUACUUUUUUGUUUUUUAAAAUUUAAUUUUUAAUUUUGUGUUCCUCAUUUCUGUAAAUGGUUCCUCUUGCACUCAGUAUUUCUCAGUCUCCAAAUCUCAAAGUCAUCCUUGAUGUAUCUCUUUUUCUCACACUCCACAUCCAAUCCGUUAGCAAAUCCCAUUGAUUCUACCUUCAAAAUAGAUUCUACAUAUAAUCCCUUCUUAUUGCAUUCAUCACUAGCACUCAUCUAAGAUGAUAGUAUACUAACUAGUCACCCUGCUUCCAUAGUUGUCUUAGUGCAGUUUGUUCUUUAUAUGGUAGCCAGAAUGCUAUUUUAAUAGUAUAAACGAGAUAAUGAUGUACUCUGCUUAAAAGUAUCCUGUCCUGUUUUCUUCACAGCACUCACCUCUACAGGACAUUAUAUAACUAUUUGGUGAUUUGAUUAUUUACUUACUUUACUGCCAAAAGGAAACUUUAAUGCUGGACUGUAAGGACUGUUGUUGGUCUUGUUUACCUCUGUCUUAGUCCAUUUGAGCUGCUAAAACAAAAAUACCAUAGACUGGGUGGCUUUAAAUAAGAGAAAUUUAUUUCUCACAGUUCUGGAGGCUGGGAAGCCUAGCAAAUUGAGUGUCUGGUGAGGUUUUGUUUCCCGUCAUAGAUGGCUAUUUUCUUGCUGUGUCCUCAUAUGGGGGAAGGGGCGAGGGAGAUUUCUGAGGUCUUUUUUAUAAGGGCACUAAUCCCACUCACGAGGGCUGUGUCCCAACGAACUAAUCUCUUCUCAAAGGCCCCACCCCUAAUGCCAUCAUACUGGUGAUUAGGUUUUAAUAUAUGAAUUUUGAGGGGACUCAAAUAUCCAGCCUAUAGCAACUUCCAUAUUGCCAGUGUCCAGAAGAGUGCCGGGUACUUAGAAGGUGCUAGUAAACCAUUUAAUGAAUGAAUGAAUGAAUAAAUGAUCUUGGAAGCAGCCCACUCCUGGGAUACUGUAAUUGUUUCUUCAAAUACCAUUGCUUACUUCAUCCUCCUGCCUCAUCCUAAAUAGCCACUCUCCCAUGGAUCCCUUAAAUAUAUAAAAAUUUAAUGUUAUGCAAUUUGUUCUAUUACCCUAUGCAAUUUAUUUAAAUAUUAGUUUAGAGUGCUGGGUAAUGGAAUAAAGUAUAUGAUAAAUAGAUGAUUAAAUGACUUAAAAUAUGACUAGCAUGGAUUUUCCUAUGAAACAGUCUUUAUGAACAAAACUCUAUUAUGAUGGCUUUGGGAGGAAUAAAUUUGAGUUAAAUUACUUCAUCAUACAGAAAAUAUUCUUUAAACCUCAGCUGUCUGUUUUGUGCCUUAACUGUGAGUGAAUGUGUGUGAGUGCAUAUGUGGGUGCAUAUGUUUUAGAAGCUGGGACAGUUGCACGGUGGAAGACACAGUCUCUGCCGAACCCAUUCAGCACAUUUAAUCACUAAAUAUUAUGAUAAAGAAUAACGUUUUAUUAACUAAUGGCUUUCACUUAAAACAGAGAACAUGGUCAUUGUCAGAACAUAAUCAAAGAUUAACACAAAGUAUUAUUCAUGACCCAGUUGAGUUGGGCCCAAAGUUUGUUUGCUACUUUUAUGCGACACUUUAUUUCUUUUUCUUGGAACUGCUUGUACAAUGGGUUUUUGCACAUAUUUACAACAAAAUGACGAGUCCUUCACAGACAAGAUUCUAUCAGUUUAACUUAAGAGCAUAUGGCAAUUUACAUAUAAACUGCUUUAUGUUUGGAAUAAUAAAAAUGUCAGGACAAAUAGGGAAUGUUAAACAUGGUGAUAUUUUUAUACCAUGUAAAUUUAUUGCCCCAUUUAAAAAUUAAAUUUAUAAAGGGAUGUGAUUGAUACUGUGCAGUGUAGUUGCCAACGAGACUAUACAGCACCACUGGAAUUGUACAUUCACUUUCAGGCUGAGUGCUGUUUUAUUGGUAAAUAAUUUGACUGCUGCAGUGCUUCCUUUCAUCUUGUAAUCCCAUAUUAAGCCUACCUAGAAAACAUAAAGAAUAUCUGGGUAUACUGACUUAUAUGUAAACAAGUUUCCUUGGCAGUCUUCCUCACAGAAAUGGGAGUAGAAUAUUGGUCUGUUUCCUCAUUCUAGUUGCUUCCUUCUGUGGAGUUUAUUAUGGUCUGGGAUUUCUAAGGUCCUGAAAGAGUGCUGGUUUUCAGAUCAUUUUCCCAGGUUAUACAAAAGUACAAGGUCCUUAGUGAGCAGAACCUGAAGAGACUUACACUGGCCUCUUCAAAUGGAAUAAAACAGACUAGGCAAGGAAAGAAACAUGGGAAGGAGACAUGUCUGAACAAAGGAUGUGCCAGCAGACAGUAGAUCUUGUAUGAUUUACUCAAGGCUCUGUUUUUAUUCCUUCUAAAUUUUGAAGGAAAUGAAAGAUAUGUGUGGACACCUGUGAGUACAUAUAAAAACAAAUGUGUGCAUAAAAUUUCGUAUCUAAACUGUCUGAAAUAACUCAGGCCUGUCAGCUCGAUUCCCUUGAAAAAAGAAGUAGUGGAGAGAAAUUCUCUAAAGUAGUUAUAGACUCUUUUGGGAUCAGAGAAUGAAUUUUGACUUGUGUUUAGAGACCACAUUAAUAUGAACAGUACAAAGAUCUAGAUAACAUAUCCCAGCCAUAAAAAACAAACAAACAGAUAAAACCAGAAAAAUGGAAAUUUUGCAUCAACUCAAAACUUGGACCAGAGGUCAACAGGGAGUUGUUCUGCGGUGCUUUUCAAGCACAGAGGUGUCUGCUGCUCUUUCUUGAUGAAUGCUGGGAUGCGAGGUAAAUCGUGGGCAUUUCAUGCCUUUGGAGCAGACAGGUGUCCGGUCCUACUGGCACUAAUUAUAAAUAAUACUCUCCCAGAGUGGUUCAGUAGUUAAGUCUUGGCAAUUAGUCACAUGUGUGUUGUCCCUCGUAGCCCAACUAUGGGGAUUUCAGAGUCUGUUCCUCAUUGCUGGGAGAUGAUUCAGGAGGAAUUCAAUAGUGAAUUUCUUCCAGCAGCCCUUACUCUUGUUUACAGCCUUUUUGCCAAAAUGGGGUAAAAGAGGUAACAAGGGGGACAGGCCAAUCUAAACCCAAAGCCCUUCCUGGUUCUGAUUUAAGUGUUUUCUAAAACCUUCUUUAAGGAAGCAUUCAAGGCUUAUCUGAACAUGCCUUGAUUCAAUAGAGUGUUGUCUCAUAGCACAUUGUAUGUAGUAGUAGUAGAAGUAGCAGUAAAAACAGCUAGUCUUCAUCUGUCCAAUAAUUAUACAAGGUAGGUGGUGUUACCAUGUGAAAGAAGAGAAAAGAAAAUUGACGCUGAAAGAUGUUGAAUAGUCUGUCCAUGAUGCAUACUACAGGUAGAAAUAAAUUGGUAAGUAAAUGGAGUAAUUCCAAUGGCAAGUCCGCUGUUGUUAGCAUGUAGCAUGUAGUUGUUAGCAUUUUGUUUUUGCCCAGCAUUAAAAUCAUCUUUAGAAAUCAUAGAGAUAAUUUAUCACCCCAAGCAUUCUGCUGAUGCUAAAUAACACUCUUUCAUAAUAAAAUAGCACUGUAAAAUUAGAGGUACCCUUUCAAAAUAGAGGUUUAUCUGUAUUACACAUUUAAUUCUUACAAUAGUCUUGAGAAAUAAAUAAGCACUAUUUUUUUUAAAGGUUUUAUUUAUUUAUUUGACAGAGAGAGACACAGCGAGAGAGGGAACACAAGCAGGGGGAGUGGGAGAGGGAAAAGCAGACUCCCCGCAGAGCAGAGAGCCCGAUGCGGGGCUCGAUCCCAGGACCCUGGGAUCAUGACCUGAGCCGAAGGCAGACGUUUAACGACUGAGCCACCCAGGCGCCCCAUAAAUAAACAUUAUUGUCCCUAUUUUAUAAAGCUGUGGAGGCUCAUGACUUGCCAACAUCUGUCCACUACCAGUAACUUUUGAAUUGUAAGAAGUCAGGAUCUUCUAAUUUAAAUUUCUUCCUCCUCUCCUCUUCUUUUUCACUGAUACAGUCAACUGGUUGCUUGAUCUCACAUUAGGUAUACAGCUGGGAGGUUGUAAGAAGUGCAUUUUAUGGCUGCCCUUCAAAACAAGCAAACAAUGGAAAGCAUUUAUCCGUUGUUGCUUCUAUCUGUUCUCCCUAAGGUAUCUAGGUUAUGCCUGCAUAUGUGGCACCCCCAGAAGGUAAAGGGCAAGAGGUGUGAAGCAGAUGCCACAGGGCUGAGGCAAGGUGCUAUUGGGUUGCAACCUAUGUGAAGCUCUUGGAGUCCACCUAGAAAUGGUCACUGCAGCAGGAGCUGAAAUAAGAGGCAGGCAGUGCAAGAGGCUCUGAAGCAAUACACAAGAUCAGUGCAAUACAAGUAACAAACAAACAAAAACGAACAAAUUAAAUAAAUCCACCCCAGAGUCAAGAAACAUUAAAAAUGGGAUCAAUAAAAAUAAAAAAGAUAACAAGUCCAAGUAUAUCAAUAAUAUAAUAAAAAUAGAUUAAACAUACUAGUUAAAGGCUGAGAGGAUCAGAUUAAAUUAAAAAUAUUCUAGUUUACAUCUCAAGUAUAAAAGCAUAGAAUGACUUAACGGAUAGAAAAAAAUAUACCAAGCAAAUGUUAAUCUAAACAAAAGUGACACAGAUACGUUAUCAGAUAAAAUAGGCUUUAAGUCAGGAAGUAUUAUAUAUAGAGAGAGUUACUAAAUAAUGGUAAAAUACUGAAAUUACCAGGAAGAUUAGCAACUCUAAACUCAUAUGCUUCUAACAAAGUAUCUUAAACCUAUAAAGCAAAAAUUGAUAGAACUAGAGGAAAGCAGACGUCUAGUAAUAGUAAAAAAUUUAUUCUACUGUCUCAAUUGUCAUAUUCAACAAAAAAUAUUUAAUAAAGAUAUAGAAAUUUGAACAACGCAGUAAACAGUUUGAUCUAAUAGAAACUGUACCAAAUGCUUUGAGAAUAUACAUUCUUCUUAAGCAUACAUGGAACACUUAGCAAAAAAUGAUCAUGAACUGGAUUAAAAAGCAAGUCUCCACAAAUUUCAAAGAAUCAGUAUUAUAUACUCUGACCUAUAACCUACAUCUCUCAGAUACUCAGAAAUGCUGGAUCCUUCUGGUAAGCUCUUGAGCAACAACAACUGUGUGGGUUAACUCCACAUGAAGAGACUCUAGUAGUGGCCAGAUGUAUCUACAAUUUGGGGCUGGUGGUGUUGGGAAAGGGGAUGAAUAGGCUUUGUUGCAGGUUGAAUUAUGAGGUGACAGACUACUUCCAAUGAUGCCUAAAUACAAAGAUAUGCACUUGUUUUUCAGAAAAUACAAAGAAGCCAGCAGUUAGGCAAGAGCUGAAAAGAAGUCAGUUAUUCAGCAGCUUCUAGCAAGGGUAGUUAUUGGAAAUCUGGUGAAGAGAUGUUUAGUUUAUUAGAGAGGAAUGAAAAAUUUUUAGGUGUUGAACUAUGUCAGAGGAGGUCAGAUUGUAUGAGUUAAUGUGAAACUAACCUACUCUGCAAUGGCUGUUUCAUGCUGUGUCUACAAUUUAAGGCUAUUUCUUCCAGGUGGUAUAUGCUAUAUGUAUAGCCACAUACAAUUUUAAUUUUCUGGAUAAUUUUCUCAUUUUUGGUUCUUUUCCCACUUUUUUUCAUUGCCUAAUCUAUAUAGUUGAUGGUAGCUCUUUGAUUCCUGCUCCUUUACAUUUGAGUUAUUAACCUAGAUGGUAUGAAACUAGAUUCACAUACACACACGCACACAACAAACCUCUUUUGAUUAUUCUUCCUUUAAGGAGGGUUGAUAAUUCUGGAGGCAUGGAAUAUUAAUUGCUGGUUGGGUGCUAAGUUUUACUACUGACAUUACCUAUUAAGUAUCUCUAAAGGAAAUAAUAAAAUGGCAGCUUUUAAGAGCCCAUUUGUGACUCAUAAAAUAUGGGUUAAAACCUCCCAUUUUAUUACACUUUUACUUCUGUAAUUAUUACUGUAAGUGAUAGAGCAGUGCAGGGUAAUCAAGAAAUCAACUCUCUCAACUCCUACAAAGGUCCAUAGGCUCUCUGAAAAUGAUACAGAUCUUAUACUUGAAGACAAUCUGUAUAAGUCUAAAGAACACCCUGAUGAAAUAAAAAAUAAACCAAAUGAAAAUGAGACAAAAAAAAAAAAAACAAAACCCCACAAAAGCCAAACUCCAAAUAAAACAAUCAAAAUAAUGCUAAAAUUAUAGAUCUGCAGAACCCUUGAGCCCAUACAAACCUGGUCAUUCCCUGCUUCCACACUUAGGAUGACCCUAGGAAAUUUACUCAAUAUCUCCAUAGCUUAAUUUGCUCAUUCAGUAAAUGAGGGGUAAUAGUUGUACAUAAUGAAUUUUGUGUUGUGGGGACUAAGUGAGCUGAAGUAUAUAAAUACAUUAGUACGAGUUCUGACAUAUAGCAAAUGUCAAUACUAAUUAAUGUCAUUAUAUUAUAAUUAAUAGUGAUAAUUGUUUUCUUGUACAUGGCCCAUUAGAUUGUCUUGUGGUAUGUCUGAUGUGAUCUUUCUGAAGCCAUGCGACUGGUAGCCUGUCUGUCCUGAUAUGUGCUUGAACUAGUAAUCACAAUUGACUUGUAGUAAAGCCUAUUCUCACUCACUUUAGUUGGGAGAGGGUGGAAAGACAGUAAAUCUAACUAUUAGUUUUAUUUUUGUUUUUAAAGAUUUUAUUUAUUUGACAGAGACAAAGCAAGAGAAGGAACACAAGCAGGGGGAGUGGGAGAGGGAGAAGUGGGCUCCUCGCUGAGCAAGGAGCCCGAUGUGGGGCCCCAUCCCAGGACCCUGGGAUCAUGACCUGAGCCGAAGGCAGAUGCUUAACGACUGAGCCACCCAGGCGCCCCUAACUAUUAGUUUUUAAUAAUAUUGUGUGAAUGCCCACUGUCUUCAAAGCAUUGCUCUUUUAGUUGUAGGAAUAAGCCAUGGUCUCUGAUUUUAAGAAUUUAUGGUAUACUAUAGUAUGCAGAUACAGAUACAAAUACUGUUAUACAGUAGAGAGAACUAGAAAGGAGUUGCAAGGGGAAGGGGAACUUGUGUGUGGACUAAGGUUCAGAUUUAGAUUAAACCAGUAUUUAACCAAUAAGCUACUGGAUUUCAUGCACUUGUUUCAGUAUUGAACCAAUCACCCAUGGCUCUAAAUUGGAACAUUAGUUAUUGUGAUAUGUAAUAAUCACUUUCAAAUUGCAAUUGUGUUAAUCAAGGUGGUGCUUUUUGUGUUUGAAGCCAGGAGAAAAGAUAAAAGUUCUUUAAAAAGUUUGCAUUGCUACUUAGUAGAGUUUCCUUUGUCAUUUGCUCCUAGGUCUUUUAUCAUUAUUCAUUCAUUCAUUCAUUCACUCAGUCACUCACUCACUUGAUUAACUAAUUUGACAAAAAUCUAUUAAGAUUCCAUUAUGUGCCAAAAACUGUGCUAAGCAUUGGGGGUUCAAAGAUGAAUAAAUUGCAUUCCCAGGAUUCAAGAGGCUCCCAGAAGAAGCAGCAGUGUAUCCAUAGAUAUAUUACUAUGUCAUGAGAUAAAUUCUGUAAUUGAGGAAUGAAGCAGGGAUGUAUGCAUCGUUUUCCUUGAAUUAGUUCUAGUUUGUUUCUGGGAAAAAUGAGAAGGUUGUGAUGCGUGUAUUUGUGUCCCCGGUGCCCUGGGCAUUUCUGUAAUCCUUGGUGUUUCUAUUGUAGACCCUCCAGGCCCCUGCCUUGAAUACCGUGUUCGUGGCACAGGUUCUCUUUUUAUUUGUCAUCUAAUCUACCCCCAAAGAAGUAUUGAUUACUCCUGAUGUGAGAUUUCUACUCUCGCAGGGUUAGAAUUUCAGUAGGUACAUCUUGAAAAAGCAGCCAUUUAAAUGCAAAAUGAGGAAUGGAUGUGACCGUGGCCUCUGGCUAGGGUGCCUGCCUGGGGCCCCCGCCUGUCUCACCGAAACGGUCCAUAUCAUAUGGUGAAAAAGAAUGGACCUCAGAUAUUGACAGACCUGGCUUGUAAUUCUUGCUCCAGCAUACAUGGGCACUCUUGGGCAAGUUAUUCAGGUUCCUUGAGGAUAAGAAUCUCUCUUUCAGAGAGGCACUGUGCAAAUCAAAUGAGGUCAACAUACAUCAAAUGCCUAAUGCGGUGUUCUGUAUGUCGCAUACAAUAAUAAAUUAUAAUGGGGAGAGACAGACAAGACUAAUAACUGAAAUGUGGAGUGCUGUGGUAAUAAGGGCUACUGAGGAAAUAAAAAGUAGGGAAAGAAGGAAGGUAAAGGAAGGGGUGGUUCGCGACUUUAAAUAGAGCAGGUAGUGAAGGCCUUACCAGAAUAUGGCAUGUGAAGAGAGCCAUGAAAGCAGUGAGGGAAUGAGUCACAUAGAAAUCCGUAGGAAGAGAAUUCCAGGCCGGGAUCGGCCAGUGCAGAAACUGGUGUGUCUUAAACUAAUUCUGGCUGGGGAGGAAAGAGCUGGGGGUGUGUGUCGGAGGGGAGCAGGCAAGAAGCAGUAGGAUAUGAAGGCAGAGAAAGUGGGAUGGUCCAGCUCAUUUGGGCCCUUGUUGGUCAUGACAAGGGUUUGGCUUUUCCUUUGAAGGAAACAGGAAGCUAUUGGAGGUUCUUGUGGGGGAGAAGCAACAUAAGCUGAGUUAGAUUUUAAAAGAAUCAAGAGGGAUAGACAACAUGACAAAGCAAGUAUAAUCAUGAUAGAACCAAGGUUGUGGAUAUAUGGAUUCACUGUAAAAAAUUUUUCUUUGCUUUGUUUGAAAAUGUUCAUAAUAAAAUGUUGGGGGAGAAAGAUUCAUUCUGAGUGAUGGUCUGAGGAGAAGCUGAAGGCAGAGCAGGGAGCCCAGUUGGAGGUCAGGACAAUGAGGCAGGGGAGAGGUAGUGGCUUGGAGAGGAGGGGUACUUCUGGGGGUGAGAAUAGGGUUUUGAGUCUGGAUAUAUACUGGGAGGGAGAGACAUGAGAAUUUAGUAGCAGAUUGGCUGCAGGGGGUGAGAAAGAGAGGAAUCAAGGAUGACACCAAGUUCUCUGGCCUGAGCGACUGGACAGAUGUGGUGACCUGUACAGAACAACUGCCAAGUUGCUGCAUUCCGUGCUUUCGUUCCAGAAGGGCCUUUCCCACUGUGAUACAGGUGAAGUUGUCUUUGUGCUAUCCUUUCCCAAGGACCUUCCUUCCCAGGCCCAGUCACCCUCUAUGGCCUCUCCCAGCCUGACCCACUGCUGUUGCUCACUGCCUGCUGCCAUCCCAAGCGUGGUAUGGCUAUGGAGUAGAAAUAGCCCUGAACUUGGAGUCAGAAGACCGCAAUUCUCUGCCUUCACCCAUCACUUAAUUUUUCCGAACCUCAGUUACCUUAUGAAGCUAAAAAUGCACACAUCAGGAAUGUUGGGGAAUUGCGAAAACAAGCAAGAAAACAUUUAGCACAAAAGUCUUUGACAUUGCAGGUUUGUUCUUUCUUGCUUUAUUUUCCUCACACUUCAUCCCCCACUGAAAUGUGUCCAUGUUGUCGCUCACUACCCUGAAGGUCUUUGAUUUAUUAGAAAGUCCCAUGGAAUUUCUAGAGUUCUGUGGUGACGUUCUCAAGUGUGGAGCACUGGCCUAGGAGGCCCCAUGAGUUCUAACCCUGCUUCUUUUCCCCACGAGCCAGAUGGCUUGCACAAGCUGCCUCAAUUUUCUGUGAUUCUGUUUUAUUGUCAUGGUAUUCUCUAAGGUUCUUUGCUUCUAGAUGCUGCCUAUUAGAGGUGCAUACCCACAGAAAUCUCAUUUAAUGCUUACAGUAACCCCAUGAAGUAGAUCUGCUCUGAUGUAGGUGACAAUAUUUUCACCUGUUUGGUCUAAACCACUUUGGAUUCUUUUUUUUUUUUAAAGAUUUUAGUUAUUUAUUUGAAAGAGAGGAAGUGAGAGAAAGAGAGAGCGUGAGCAGGGAGAAGGAGAGAAGCAGACUCCCUUGCUGAGCAGGGAGCCCGGCAUGGGGCUCCAUCCUGGGACCCUAGGAUCAUGGCCUGAGCCGAAGGCAGCCAUUUAACCAACUGAGCCACCAGGAGCCCCACCAUUUUGGAUUCUAAAUGCAAGGUUUUCAGUCCAGUUUGUUUAUGUCUGAGGUGUAUUUAGUUAUACAUUGAUUUAAUAGAAGUUUAUUGAACAUUGGGCCCUAGGUAAGCAGGGAGGUGGACCUUUUGGAACCCCCUUAAAAUCAUGCUCAUCCAAUUGGGACUUCUGGUGAAGAGUCACUCAUGCAGCCAGACUGUGAAGAGCUGGGACAGUGUUCAUGGGCAGGACUUGGAAAAUUCUUACAGUGGACUCUGAUACAAGAGAAAAAUGUGAGAAAAGACUGAAAAUAAUGAGCUCAUUGAUUCUUUUUUUCUUCAAGUUUUUACUUAAAUUCCAGUUAGUUAACAUACAGUGCAAUAUUAGUUUCAGGUAUAGAAUUUAGUGACUCAUCACUUAACAUACAACACUCAGUGCUCAUCACAAGUGCCCUCCUUAAUACCCAUCACCCAUUUAACCCAUCCCCCCGCCCACCUCCCUCCAGCAACCCUCAGUUUUUUCUCUAUGGCUGAGUCUAUUUUCUGGUUUGCCUUUCUCUCUUUUUUCCCCCAUGUUCAUCUGUUUUGUUUCUUAAAUUGUACAUAUGAGUGAAAUCACAUGGUACUGUCUUUCUCUGACUGACUGACUUCUUUUAGCAUAAUACUCUCUAGCUCCAUCCAUGUCAUUGCAAAUGGCAAGAUUUCAUUCUUCUUUAUGGCUGAGCAAUAUUCCAUUUUAUGUAUAUACAUAUAUAUAUGUGUGUGUAUAUAUAUAUAUUUUCCAAAUAUACACACACACACCCCAAAUGUAUAUAUACACACACCACAUAUUCUUUAUCCAUUGAUCAGUUAGUUGAUGGACAUUUGGGCUCUUUCCAUAAUUUGGCUAUUGUUGAUAAAGCUGCUAUAAACAGAAUGGCUAAAAUUAACACAGGAAGCAACAGAUGUUGGCAAGGAUGUAGAGAAAGGGGAACCCUCUUCCUCUGUUGGCAGGAAUGCAGACUGGUGCAGCAACUCUGGAAAGUGAGCUCAUUGAUUCUUAGAGAGUGUCCUUCAGAGUUAGUUGAAACUUUAGCCAUGGGCGCCUUGGCUGAAAAGAAGUUUCUGAAAGAGAUUAAGGGUAUCUCUUCUGAGGAUUUGAAGACUCUUGUAAAUGAUUACAAUCUUUUGGAACUGUUUAAAACAUUCUUGUUGGGAUAGAGGGAAAUGGACCAAAUAAGCUCUUCUGUCUUAUUAGGUAUUUAACUAGUUACAGUGUUACUUACAAUGUUAUUCGAGGCCACUUCUAAACUCUUAAGCCCCAAGAAAGGAGACUUCUCUUUUUACCUCUCAUGUCCACAUGACUAAAGGAAAAAGGCCUACUUACUGUCACUAACUUCAUUCUCAGUAAAGUGAAGCAAGUCCAGUUGCCACUGUAAAGGAAGCAAACUAGAGGAAGAUUUGAAAGCUUUUCUUUGUUAACAUGGCUAACUCUAGAUAAAGGGGAAGUGGCUUUAUUUUUACACUAACUUAAUUGGCCAUCUUUUGAGGUUGAGCUGCAGUUUUGUGGUUGGUUGUAUUUUAAUGUGCACAAUCAGCUUGAUCAUUCAGAAGCAUGGGAGAUGCUGAACGUUACAUUUUCACAUCUAUCAGCAUAGAUGGGUUUAAUAAUUGAAUGGUCAAGCUCAAUUGUGGAGAUAAUCUGUGAACUCCUACUUGGUUUAUAGAAAAUAUAGGUAUAGCCCAGUGAUAAAUUUUCGGAGUGGGGGGUGAGUCCAGCUUGUAGAUGCAAUUACAUUACUCUAUACAUCUACCCUGUGCACAAAUACCAGAGUACAAGGUCUAUUAUAUUAAUACUGUGCCGAUAAUGUCACUGAUGAUUAAAACACCAGAAACACCAAAACAAAAGUAUAUUUGUUAAGGUAAAGAAUAAAAAAUUAAUAUUUUAUUUUUAAAUCAUUUUAUAUAUUUUUUAAAGAUUUUUAUUUAUUUAUUUGUCAGAGAGAGAGAGAACAAGCAGGGGAAGUGGCAGGCAGAGGGAGAAGCAGGCUCCCUGCUGAGCAAAGAGCCCGAUGCAGGACUCGAUCCCAGGACCCUGGGAUCAUGACCUGAGCUGAAGGCAGUCGCUUAACCGACUGAGCCACCCUAAUUUUGGGUGCCCCCAAAUUAAUAUUUACUCAGCUUUGCCACAACUGAGUGACAUUAUUUUAAAGCUUUAUUGAAGUAUAACUGACAUAAAGUAAACUGCAUAUAUUUAAAAUGUAAACUUUGAUGAGUUUUGACAUAUGUAUACACCAGUAAAACCAUCACCACAGUCAAGAUCAAUGAACAUAUCUAUAUUCCUAAAAGUUUCUUUGUGCCUCUUUGAAAUCUCUCCCUUACUUCCUUCCCCAACCUCCUUCCAGUCCUGGGGAACUACUGUUCUGCUUUGGGUCACUAAAGUUUAGUUUGCAUUUUAUAGAAUGUUACAAAAAUAGAAUAAGAUGAUAUGCACUUUUUGUUUGGCUUCUUACAUUCAGCUUAAUUAUUUUGAGUUAAUCUAUGUUGUUGCAUGUAUAUAGCAGUAGUGUAUUCUUUUUUUAUUUCUGAGUGAAUUUAUUUUUAUUGCUCAGUAGUAAUCCCCUGUAUGGAUAUAACACAAUUUAUUUAUCCAUUCAUUGGUUCAUGGACAUUUGGGUUGUUUCCAGUUUUGGCUAAUACAGAUGAAGCUGCUGUGAAUAUUUCUUUACCAGGCUUUGUAGAGACAUAUGCUUUUAUUUCUCUCUCUCUCUCUUUUUUUUAAAGAUUUACUUAUUUAUUUGAGAGAGAGAAAGAGAUGGAGAGCAUGAGCAGGAGGGCCAGAGGGAAAGGGAGAGGGAAUCUCAGCAGACUCUGCUGAGUGCAGAGUCCCAUGCAGGGCUCAAUCUUAGGACCCUGAGAUCACAACCUGAGCCAAAACCAAGAGUCAGAUGCUCAACCAUUGCACCACCCUGGCACCCCUGUUUUUAUUUCUCUUAACUUAAUGCCUAGGAAUGGACUCACUGACUUAUAUGGUAGGUGUAUUUUUUAUUUAAAUUUGUCAAACUGUUUUCCAAAGUGAUUGCACAAUUUAUUAUUCCUUCCAUCGGUAUAUGAAAAUUCUAGCAGCUCCACAUCCUCACCAACAUUUGGUAUAGAAAGUCUUUUUAAUUUUAGCCAGUCUACCAGCAAUGUACAGAGAUCUCAUUGUAGUUUUAAUUUGCAUUUCCCUAAUGACUAAUAUUAGGCAUCUUUUGAUGUGCUUAUUUGUCAUCUCUGUAUCUCCUUUGAUCAUAUACCUGUUCAAAUCUUUUACCCAUUUAAAAAAGUAAGUUCUUUUCUAAUUGAACUGUGAGAGUUCUUCAAACAUUCUAGACACUUUUUUUUCAUAUAUGUGCUUUGCAAAUGGUUUCCCCCGGUCUGAGGCUUACUCUUCAUUUUUGUAGUAAUGUCUUUAGAAGAACAAAAUUUUAAUUGUGAUGACAUCCAGCUUAUCUUAUAGUUUGUGAUUUUUUGUGUCCUAUUAAAGAAAUCUUUGCUAAAUGUAGGGUCACCAAGAAUUUUUCUCUUUUUUUCUAAAAUUUUUAUAAUUUUAACCAUUACAUUUAGGUAUUUGAUUCAUUUUGAAUUAAAUUUUAUACUACAAAUCAUUGCUGAGCAAAAUUUUAAAAAGACCUAAAUAAAUGCAAAGAUAUAUUCAUGGAGCAGUAGGCUCAAUAUUGUUGUCAGUUCUCCUCAAAUUGAUCUAUAAAUUCAACCCAAUCCCAAUGAGAAUCUCAGCAGCCCUUUUUUGUAAAAAUUGACAAGCUGAUUUAAAAUUUAUAUGGAAAGGACCUAAAGUAGCCAAAACAACCUAAAAAAGAACAAAUUUGGAUGACUUACCCUACUUGAUAUCAGGACUUACUAUAAAGCUAUGGUAAUCAAGAGAAUAUGGAAUUGGUGUAACAAACAGAUUAAUGGAACAGCAUAUAGAAUCCAGAAAUAAAUCCACACAUGUAUGGUCAAUUGGUUUUCAACAUGUGUGCCAUGCGUUCAUUCAAUUUAACGGGAGAAAGGAUGAUCUUUUACACAAAUGGUGCUGGAACAAUUGAAUAUUUGUAGGCAGUGAAAUGAACCUUGACUCUGUGGACAUUUUACCAAGUCAUUAUCAAGAACCUAAUAAAAUACUGUAUUUUUAAUGGGUUUUUAAAGUAACAAAUCGUUAGAAUUAAAUGAUUCGUUAUGGGAAAAGUUUAAAAAUUUGAAUUAUCACUAGCUAACAGGAAAAUUCAUACAAGUUAUCAUAUAAAUGGUGAUCAAUAUUAACAAAUACAAUUCAUCAGUCUCUUGCUUGCCCUCUAUAAAACUGCAAAAAAAAAAAAAAAUCCACUACAACUCCAGUAUAUAGAAAAUGGGAACAGCCAAGAGAGUCACAUGCUCUAUCAUUCUGUCUACAUAGGCAAACUAAUUUAUAAAUACAUAUUUUAAAAUGUCGAAAAAAGAACAAGACUAGGUUGUUUUGAAACAGUUUGCUAAAUCAAAAAACAAAACUUUUGUGUCAUUAUAUAUACCUCUUUUGUGUCCAAGAUGGAGCCUGUAGUAGCAAAUACAAAAUUGAGAGAUGAAGGUAAGUGAUUUACUAGUUAAGAAAGAAUUUAUUUAUUUGUGAUCAGUCCCCUUAAUACUAUUUACAUGUGACUCUCCAGUCUCUGGUGAUCACCAUUUCAUAACAAAAUAAAAAAAAAAAAAAACUGUUUUCCUUCUCUAUUCCCUAAAUGCAGAUUUGCUAGAGCCCUUGCUGCUUUCCAUGCCAGUAGAUGGCAUUCUUAUUCUUGUUUUUAUUUUAAUAGUCUUAGAUUCAUGAUAAAUGUAAUGCUGUGGGCUGGACUUACAUUCAGUUCUGGUUCCCACAGUCCAAGUUCAGGAUGAACAACUUCUGAUGCACAUAGAAAGGAGAGGCACAUACUUAAGAGAAAGAUAAAAAUGCAGUCCAUGGAAAAUAGAGAUGUGUCCAAAAAAUUGCCACUUCUUUAUUUUUUACUUAGCUGGUUAGUGUCAGGUCCAGUGAGGAUAGGAGUUUUUGGAAGGGAAAGGGUCUUGGGUUUGGAUGUUUUGGAUGUUUCCUCAUCCCCUGCUUGCUUGGUCCUGAUGACUCUGCUGCUUUGAUGUAUCCGCUUGGCAUAGUCAGGGUUCAUUUUCCAAAUCUGUAGACGCUGUGGUCUGCUGAUCUCAGCCACAGUCUCCUUCAGCCCUGGCUUUGCCCCCACCGCAAAGACCCUUCUUUAGGGUUAUUGUACCCACAGGAGGGCAACCUGUGGCUAACCUUCUUGCUAUUCUUGGCUGCAGUCUGACUCCCUCACUGAGGGCACCUGUGAAUGACAGGAUUCCUUCCACACCCACCACAUGGAGCCACUGGAAUCUCAGGGCCACCAUUUCUGACCUGCUUCCUAUAUGUGUUCCACUGCCAUUUUUAUUCUGCGGCAAUUACCAUGUUCUGGGUAGGGGUAUAGUGCAAAGUGGCAUCUUCCCAGGAUUCCAAGUGGGAAAUAGGCCCAGGGGCCCCUGCCUUUAGCUUAACCUUCCAUCAUUCUGGGAUGGCUACGUAUUCACUCAGUCUUUCGGGUUCAGUCAUACCUCUCCUCCUACUUUCUCCCUUCAAGUUUUUGUCCCCAGAAAUGGAACAAAAUUUUGCUUGUUCCAGAAAGGGCAAUUCAUCCCAUUUAGGUCUGUUGAAAACCCCCCUGAAUUUUUUAUUUUUUACCAUACAGAUGAUCUUUGCUGUAAAUCAGUGUUUUCAACAGUGUCAUAUGCAGUGUUCCCCGUUUAUAUAACAAACAUUUUGUAAUACCUCUUGACUGUAAGUAUUAAAACAAUGACCUAACUUUAUUAUGAAGGAGAGUGAAAAGAAAGUAAUUUUUUCUAAAAAGACAUUUGUGUCUGUAUGUACAAUCACCAUGAAUCCCACAGCCAUGAAUGCAGACUGUCUUACUGUUAACUCAAAUAUCAAGAAUGGUAAGAUUGUUCAAAGCUGUGAACUUCAUUGAUAAAAAUAUGAUCAUAAUAAACUAUAAUUGUUCCUUGAUUUACUUUGCAGUUACCAUCCUGGAAAGUCAGCACAUAUUAAAAAUGGGCAAAUAAUACUACCUAUAUGUACACCAAAAUUAGAUAAUUAUAAAAAUACCUUCAUUAAUGUGAUGUUGUACAAAAUUCUGUGCAAACAGUUCUUUGUGCAGAGCUGUCUUGUUCCAAGAUACAUAGCAUCUCUGCCUUCUGCUAACUAAAUGCCAGUUGGGCUCCAAUCAUUGUGAUGACCAACCCCCUCCCCUGUUUCCAAAUCUCUUGGGGGGCACUACCAUUCCUAUUGAAAACCAUUGUUUUAGGCAAUACCUUCCAAUAAAGUUAGUUUAUGAUCUUUCCUGGGUCUGCAGGUCACAGGUUCAGCAAUACUCUGCAGAAUGAGCCCUUUGUUCAUUUAUUUUCAACUCAUCCUGACAUGUAUGCUGUGGUACAAGUGUCCCCAGUAUUGAUACAUCUGGGGACUCCUAGGUGGUCCAAGUUUUGUUUGAGAACCACAGCACCAUACUAUACUGCCCUUCUAUUCCUGUCUUUUGCUCAUUUGUCUAUUGAACUGUUUUCUCAUGGAUUUGAAUUAACUCUUAAUACCUCUCAGUUAUGAUUAGGAAAUUUGAGAUCCAGAGAGGCCAUGUCUCACGAAGGGUCUCAGAGGUGGAAAUUGCAUAGAUCUAAGACCAGAGCUCCAAUCUUCUGACCAGAACCUUCCUAUUACUUCGUAUUCUUAUUGCCUCAUAAAUUAAUCCAUUGGCUUUUUAAUUGGAAGUCUGUGUACAAAUAAUCUUUUUUUUAAAAUUAAUAUUGAUGCAAAUCAAUUCAGUAGGGUCUGAUUGUGAUUGUGCCUGGCUGAAGUUAUACAGUGAAUUUCUAAACCCACAGACCUAUAAGGUGGGGACCCCAUUAAAGCUACAGUCACCUUAUGAGGCCCAGCCCAAGGAAGUCUUUCAACUAUACCCAUAGUUCCCCACAAGCCAUGGCUUUCCUUGGUUUCUUAAUACAUAUUUAUCCAUUCUUGUAGUCAGGCUUUGUUUACUGUAUUGUCUGGACUUUUCUUUCUUCUUUUUUUCACACGUAAAGGUUUCCAUUGCCUAGAUCUCCAGAUACUGUCUGGAACAAUCCAUCUUGCCUGGAACCAGAUAAUAAUGUAAAUCAAACAUGUAACACAAAAACAGAAACAGUUUUAUUGUCUUCUCUUGAUGUAGCAAGUUCUGUAUAACAGGGAGAAAAUUCACAUCUCUGUACAAAAUUAGAAAGAAAAUUCUAUAUUAGGUGUAAAUUUUAUGAUCCAAUCCCCUCAAUUUGAGUCCUUCUGAUCUAUCUAACUGUUAUUCUUUCUAAAUCAAGAAAAGAACAUUAGGCGUAAUGGUUGAGUUGUGAAUGAUAAACUCUGUGUGUAUAUUAGGGAGAGAAUGCAUAUGUAGCAAUUGACUUAACUAGGUGAGCAGCCCUGGGCGCAUUUAUGUCUGAGAUCCAAAUCAAGCCCUUAACAGGCAAGAUUCUUUAAUAUAAAUGAGAAAUAGGCUUUAUCCUGCCAUAAUGACCUGCAGCCUCUCAGACAUGAUUCUCCACAGACCGAUCACUCCACACAAAGGUUGGCCAGCUCACCAAAGCUAUUAUCUUUUAUUUAUGCAGAUCAGAUUGUGACAAUCCUUGGAAUUCUUUGUUUUAUCUUCUUUUUUUAAAUCCUUCUGACAUGGUCCUUUCUUUCUUUUUCUGUAUCAGCAACUCCCCAAACAAACAUUUUCAUGACUUUCCAAGUCAUUGAAUGAAAAUAUUAGAGUAUAAUUUGGUUAGCUUGUAUUAUUCCACACAGAAAAGAAAACUGUUUUAAUUUUGGAGGCUACUAGAUAAAGGAAGAGGGAAAAAUUCCUUAAUUUUUUAAACCACACAGGGAGCCAUGUAUUGUGCCAACAUACUAACCAGCACCAAAUCCCAGUAGUUUACACUUCCAUUAUUUAAUAUGCCCUCUGGAGUUUUGGAUGUGGCUCAGAAAAAAAAUUUUUAAAUUUCUUACAUAUGACCCUAAUUUCAAUAGACGUGCUUUAAAAAACCUUGGCUUUCUUCCUUUCACAUUUCCCAUUAGUCAAUAUUAGCUACAUAUUCAUGGGUGAGACUUUAAAUAGCACACAUCUUGUUAAAAAAAACAUAUCAGGGUGACUUUUUUUUUUUUUUUUAAGUGGGUGUGCUUCCAGUGAUCUUUCCCUCUUGGGGGAUUGGAGGAAAAUGUUCAGCAGUAGGAGCUGAAAGAAAAAGAGAAUAUCACUUCUGAGUGUGGCAGUUUAGUUUUCAUUGCAUAUUACUUUUUUUUUUUUUUUCUGUAGUGCUGUUCUUUCUAGCUUUUAUCUAAGCAAAGUAACAAGGCAAGAGACCCACUGAGAGAUCAGGCAACAACCAUUGUAGGAAGGAUUUUCCCAGUUGAUUUGGGGGAGGCUGAAUUCAGCUGACAUUCUCAGGGUUCUUAUUCCUGCAUUUAAUCCAUAAGCAUUUUAUUGAAUGCUAAUUAUUAUGUCUCAGUUACCCUGCUAGAUGUUAUGGCAGAUAGAAGAAAGAAUCAAACAUGAUUUUUGCCUUUAUUCAUUCAUUUGAUAAACACUUGUUAUCCACUGGCAAAACGACAAUGCACCAGCCCCACUGAUCUUUUCAAUCUGGUGUGGAAGACAAUAAGUAAUGGUGGAUGUUUCACAAACAGGGUAAGUUGUGGGGCCGCCAUAUAACUAGAGGUACCAGGUGCUAUGGGAGCAUACAAUUCAGGAUACCAACUUAGUGUUGCAUGUGCAAGAGUUAGCCAAGGUCUACCUGAAGUAAUAAAAUGUACCUUGAGCUCGGAAGCAUGAGAGCUUGGGAUGGUAGGGAAUGGAGUGUCCCAGGAAGAUGGGACACAGCUGUGUGAAGGCUGAGUUGAGUGGUGCAUUGGAGGAACUAAAGAAAAGCUUAAAGCUAGGUAAGACUCAGUUCCUCUUUCUCAUUUCAGAGUGAGUUUUGAGGGCUGCUCAUGGCCACAAGUUGCUUCCUUAAGUGACUGGAAGAGGUGAGCUUCGUUAGGAGCAACUUGCCACCUGUAAUUCACAUCUCACUGGAGCAAUCAUGCUCGGAUCUUAAACAGGACUUGUUAUCUUGGACUGACACUAUCCUUGCAUGCUAGCUUUGACAAAUUUAUGCUAAAUUUUAAAAUGGAUGAUUUUCAUGAAUAUACUAAUCCCUCUAAUCCCUUAAUAUGGCCAUCAAGUCAGAAAUUUCUAUGUUCCAGCAUGAGUGCUCCCUUCUCAGGGCACUCCUAUGAGAAUGCAGUCCUUAUUUAUUGCAUUCUGGGUAAGGCGAGCUAUCUUGUUCACAUGUAAGAAACUGUAAUGCAUCCUGCACAUUUAAAGUGCCCUCUGAAGUGUUCUCCUUCACAAACUCUCCCUUUUUCCCUGUUACCUCUAAAUUUUUCAUACCGUCUCAAGCAUCUCUCAAAGAAUUGCAAAUUCUGGCUGGAACAUGAUUAAUUUAGCAUGUGGCCUCUUUCGAUGGAGUGCUCUGCUGUCCAUCCUCCUUAUGCAAGGCUAUCUCUCUUCUUGGCUCUUAGCAGGAAAAGUGAAUUAAGGCAAAGGCCCAGGCUGUUCAGCUGUGCUGCUUGAAAAUGAAUUUUUACUGGCAGUGCCACAAAGGCAAAAGUGUGGUGUUUCAAAAGUGAAAUUACAAUAUACAGUUGAUACUAUUUUAGUUGCAAAGCUCAGUCACCCCAUUUCCCUCUCACAGCUUGCUGAGGGAACAUCUGUUAUUCUUCGUUUGGAGGUGAAAGGCAAAACAAAGACAUUUCUCCUCCUUAAAGUCUCCCUACCUUUAUAUCGUUCAUGUUUCUAGCACCUUCGUUAUUCAUUUCAUCAGCUAAUAUUUUCUGAGAGAAGGUCACCUCCCUUAACUAUUGAGAGGAGAGGCACAUUUAUUUCCCUUGCUGGAAUUCUUUUAAUAGAAUUCAACUUAGCUGAGCCAUGAAGGCCAAUACUACUACACUCAGAGAUGGCUUCCAGUGGUGCUUACCAAGGAAAUCUCCAGAAUAUCUUUGAGACUUGGACCUCUAUGGUUCCCAUAAUUUCUGUGAAGAAGGACAGUGAAAAAUAUGAACCUCUUUUUUGGAAGAAUUUUGACAUCUCAUUUGAAUAUACCUCUUAUAAUUUACUUACUUGCUUAAAAAUACUCUAUUUGUGAAAGGGAUGUGAUUAUUAGGUCUCUAAACUAAUUAGCAAGUGCCUGGCAUGUAGUUAGGGCUCAGUCCAUGUUAGUGAUGAUGAUGAUGAUGAUGAUGAUGAUGGUGAUGAUGAUAAGGACAAAGAGGAGGAGAAGGAUUAUAGAAUGUUAGGUCUUUGAAAAUAUCACCAAACAACAUGUUGAUAAGACAAAGCUGAAUUUAUUUAUAGUAUGGUAAAGUUGGGGGUGGUGAUGGGGAGGGAAGAACCUCUCCAGAGUUCUAAUAAUGAAUGGAAGUCUGGUUUAAGGCAGGUCUUUCAAGUUUGGAGGGUAGUGGAGGUUGGAGGAGCUGGUAGACAGCAGUAUGGGGAUUUGGGAGGAGGAUGUUCACUGGGAUUGAGUAAAGAUCAUGACGUGAUAGUUCAGGAUUGGUGGAGUCAAGAGUUUUGAAGGGUCUUAGAGAGCAAACAGUCGUUGGAUGGAAAAGUUGAGCAUUUUGAUGUUCACUUAAGUGGGAUUUUCAGGAAGUUCCUGGAACUGACAAAGUGAUUUGCAACUUUUUUUCUUCCUGGGCAAGUUUUCUGAAGUAAUAAAGUAACAUCAAGGAAGGCAGUGAAAUAAUAAAGUUAUGUUGGUGAAAAUGGCCAGUAGUAAAGCUGCACUAACAUCAUGGUAAAUUGUGUGGAUACAGAGAGCUUAGAUUCUUCCUCCUCAUCCUCCUCAUCUUCCUCCCUAUUCUGGAAUUUUGAAGAUGAUGUUAUUUACUAUCAGGGAAUUAGGUAUUUGAGAUGUGUGUGUGUGUCUGUGUUUGUGAUAAUAUGCUGCUUAUUCUGUGUUGACUUAAAAAGAAAUUCUAUGCCAGGCAAAACGUUUUCCCAAGACUUGUUUCAAAUCUUGACUCCUUGUAGAUUUUGACCAAAGUGCUGGAGAACUUCACAUCCUCCAAAAUCUAGCUCCUUUGUGGACACUCUCAGGUAUCCCUGUGAGGUAUUAGGAUUUGCUGCUUUCUUCUCUUGCUUUCCCCACACUGUGAGAUCCUCAGAGUAGGAUUUGCAUCAGCUUUCUGCCAUUGAAUACUUUUCUGCCUAAUGACUGGGACUGUACUAAAUGCUGAAGAUACAAUGAAGAAUAAGAAGCAGUGCCUGCCCUCUUUGGGGUCUCAUCCUGGUAGAGAAAGUAAAUGAAAUAAUUGUCACUUAUUCAACUUUUAAUAUUUCUAUGUGCCUAAUAGAGCAUUGCACCUAAUAGGGUUCCAACAAGUCUGUGAUGAAUGAAUGAAUGGCUGCACAUUUGUGAGCUAGGUGUGAAAUGGUAUUUUAUUGUGGUUUUAUUUUCCUGGGAAAUUUUUUAUAUAUCUCAUUUAUUGCUCCUUUUAUAAAAAAUUGUCUUUUAUAUCAUUUACCUGCUUUAUUUAUUAGUCUUAUUUAUUUUUUUGCUGUUGUUACUAGGUUGUUGUCUUAAAAAACAUGGGUAUGUAGGAUUUUAUUAUAUAUUCUGAGCAAAAGUUUCUUACUGGUUUUGUGGAUUGUAAAUAUCUUUUCUCUGUGUCUGGCUUGUGUCAGUGUCACUUUAAUAUAUUGCCUUUUGUGCUCCAGAAAUUUUAAUUUUAGUAUACACAUAUUUAUUAAUCUUUUUAUUUAUGGUUAGUGCUUUUUUGGUGCCUUAUGUAAGAAAAACUACCUACCUUUACAUGAUAGAGAUGCUCUUUAUUUUCUUUUAGAAGUUCUGAAGUUUUGCUUCUUGAAUUUAUUUUGCUUCAUUUACUUGAAAUUGAUUUUUGUGUUUGGUAUAAAGUAAACAUCUGACUUUAUUUUAGUUCUCUUACAUGCAUAUGCUGAUCACUAUAUGUGAAUACUUAAGGGAGGCCCUCUGCAAAUCUCUGAAGGUUCUUUUUUGCACUGUUCUCUCCUUUCUUUUACUUUGUCCCUCUAACUAUAACUUCCUUGGUGUCCCUGAAUUCUCAGCUCUGUGUCCUUAACUCAGGUUGUUCACUGGACUAUGCCUGAGUUCCUCCUGUGUGUGCUGGAAAUGUUCUCAAUGCAAUAAGCUGGGCAAUUUGGGGAUCCCUUCAUUUGUUUUAGAUUUCUGAGAUUACUAUUUUUAGUUGCCUGAUAUUGAGUGUCUUCAACACCUUUGUUUCAUAUAUUUUGUCCAUUUUUUGGUUGUUUCAGACAGGAGGGAAAAUUGGUCUCUGUUAUUCCAUCUUGCCCAGAGCAGAAGUCUGAAGUGGGGAAUGAGAAUUGAACUACUUAGGAUGUGAAGCUGGAGAAGGUCAAUUUGGAAGAGGUAAUUUUAUGGAUCAACAAUCUGAAAGGAGGCUCACAAAGAUUCAUGUAAGUAGCUGAGGAUAUGGAGGCUUGGCGAAGUGAUUUUCUCUCUGAUUUGUGUACCACUUAUCGCAGUCCAGGAAAUUAGAUGGUGGGUUGGGUUGCAUUCUCCCAGAGCUCUGGCAUUACAUUUGGAAAGACAAAAUUAAAAGGAUCUUCCCCCCCACCCCUGAGUGUUCAUGGGACCUAAGAAGAAGGCUGUGGUUUGGGCUAGGAUAGACUUAGAGUGGUUCUAGGCAAAGAAGCAGACUUUCUGAGGAAGGAGGCCUAAGUUAGUGCAAGAUUUCUUGAGACUUCCUCUUGAAAGUCCUGCAGCCUCACUUCCACCACAGUCAUGGUAAAAAGCAUCCCAGGGUCAGCCCAGAGACAAAAGAGGGGGCACAAAGGGAUGAAUAUGUGUGGUUGUUGGGGCAAAUGUGUUUUUAACCAAUUACCACAGUAACCUACUAAAUGUUUGGGGUGGAGAAAUGAAGAAUAAAAUGAGAAAGACAGGAUAUGCCAGAUUGUGAGAAUCUUGAAUGCUGGGUGUUAUCAAAGGGAAGUUAAAGGCCCUGGUGCCUGGGAUUAAUAAAAUGAAACCAGUGUUUUAGGAAGAAUAACCUGGUAGUGAUAUGUGUUAUGAUUAGAAUAAGGAGUGCUGGAUGUGGACUGAGAUGCUAGGAGGCUGUUGCAGCUAUAACUCAGGUGUGAGAAGGUGGGACCAGAACAAAGGUGGAUGCAAUGCAGAUAGAAAAGGGAGGGAGACUUCUAGGAUAUUUUGAUUAUGAUUGGACAUGUCAGAAUCCUGCCUAGUAUAAAGAUGUGUUUCCCUUGGCGCAUGAUAGGUAUGAAAACCAAAUAAAGAAUUAUGCCAUGUCAAGAAAUACAUUAAGCCAAGACAUUUCAAAGAUUCAUAAGAACAAGAGAGAGAGGACAUGAGACCUAUUAAUCAAAUUGGGGAGGAGGAAGGAAGUGGCAGAGAAUAGAAACAGUAGAAAUUAAAAGUGGGAACAGGGACAAUGAUCAUACCCAAUGAGAAAGAACCUAACCCAUGGGGAAAAAAAGAAUAUUCACAGAGGAGGAGUUAAAAAAAAAAGACACUUCAUAGAAUACAUACCAUUCUGUAUAAACUGACAGAGAAGCAAGUAGGACAUAAAUCUCCAUGACAUCACUUAAAUAUAAUGGUAUAAUAAUCGAUUUUCAUUAUUGAUAACACAUUCAUUCAUUUAAUAAACUUUUCUAAAUAUUUACUGUGUACACACAAUAUACUCAUCUCUGACACCGUUAUGUGCAAAGAGAUUAAAAAAAGACCUUCAAACCCUACCAUCGUGAAAUUUGGAGACAGAUGUGUACAGAAAGACUUUUAACAUCCCAAGAUAAGUACUAAAGUAGUGAUAGGAGCAGCUUACUUAAACACAGAGGAGGGAGAGAAUAACUUUUCCUGAGGGUAUCAGAAAUGAUUUCACUGAAGACUUGAGAUGAUCAGUAGGAAUGGAAGUUCAGCAGUUGGGGAAGGUGGACCAUUUCAUUCCAGGUAGUGGCAAAGAGGGGAAGGCUUUUGAAAGUGUGGUGGAGGGUCACCAGGGUGGCUCAGUUGGUUAAGUGUCUGACUUUGGCUCAGGUCGUGAUCUCAGGGUCCUGAGAUUGAGCCCCAUGUCUGGCUCUGUGCUCAGCAGACAGUCUGUUUCUCCCUCUCUCUCUCUCUCUGUCCCUCCCCCUACUUGUACUCCCUCUGUCUCUCUCUCUCUCAAAUAAAUAAAUAAAAUUUAAAAAAAAUAAGAAAGUAUGGUGGAUUGGAAAACCAACAAGAAGCCUCAUUAGUCUGAUCACCAAGAUGAGGAAGCUGGGAAACCAUUUAAACUGUUAAAAAGUAUUUGAAAUCUUUGGCACCCAAAGGGUUAAACUGUCAGGUAUCUGGAAGCUUGUUAGCUCACAUAGCCCUACACUACCCACACUACCCAAACUGAAGUGUUUCUUAGUGGUAUUUACUACAAUUGUCUAUUUCUAGUUUCUUUCCUUCAGUAUGGUGGCGUGACUAUUAUAAUACUGUAGAAUUUUUAAGCAAGAGGCUUAUGUGUCCUCCUGUGUUUUGAAAAGAUAGCAAACUAGAUUUGUAGAGGCAGAAUUAAGUCACAUAUUAGGUAUUCUUGGGAGAGCCUAUGUGACUUUACAAAAUGCCAUUGGCUCUGCAUAAAUUCCUAUGUUAAGAGCUACCAACCAGUGUGGAGUAAGAAUGCAGAAUGCAAGUCAUCUAGACAAGACCACCAUCUUUGUAAGUGUUACCAGCUAGCCUCUUAAAAUAGUAGUAAUAUUCUACUUCAUUAGUUUUGUCCAAAGCAUGAAGACUGCUAUUUGAAGUAUGUUCUUUGGGUAAGUCUUUUACUCAGGAUAAUGUUAAUAUAUAUUCUUUGUAAAGAAACUUGCAGUUCCGAAAGUACUGUGGCAACCAUUAUUUAACUCUUUAUCUAGAAGAGGUAGGCAGGCAUUUUCUUCCCUAUUUUACAGAUUAGAAAACUGAGGUUCAAGUUUAGGGCUUUGCCUAAGACCAGGCAGUUCAUAAGUGGAGAGGGCGAGAUUUGAACUUAAAUCUUUUGACUUCAAGCACCUUGUCUUGCUAGGACACAAUAGCUUCUUCCUGCAAUUUCCUAUACUAAAGGAUAACACCUGGUAAUUCUGAUUUAACUUUAAAUCUUUAUUGCCCGUGCAGAUAUAUAUAAUUUUAAAAGUUAGGGCAUUUAAGCACAUUAUUAAUUACAGAUAUACCAAUAACUUCACUAAAGAUAUGACACCUUUAAAAAAUGUAAUUUGUACAUCUCUGAAGUAGACAUUAGCCUGUUGAUAAAGAACAGGUCAUUUUAUUUACUUGAUGAUGAUGGUGAAGUUGGCUUUAUCCAGCACAAGGCCUAAUAGAUUCCACUCCACCAACAUAGCUGGGACAUGUUUCUGCACUCAAGCAGCCUACGAUCUAAUGGGAAAGACAAGUAAACCCAAUUAUCUGCAGUAUAGGGUAGAAAGUGGUAAGAUUUGAUGGGAAGGUCCAGACAUAUGAAAGUGUGAUAAAGGGGUACAUUAAUUUUAAUCACAAAAAUCAGGAAAGUAUCAUGUAGGAGGCUUCUUGGAGCUGAGUUUUGCCAUAUGGUUAAGAUUUCAAGAAGUCUUGUUUGGGGCUGAAGAGAGGUGGGGCAAAGAACAUUCUAGAAAGAAGAACGCAGUGCAAACAUUAGGAAGUAGGAAGGUAUUUGAAUAAACACCUAUAAUUUGAUGUCAUUGUGGCAGAAGAUGAUUGAAAAUAGGGCAAGAAACAAAUAGCACAGGGAAUUGGGGGCAGGUCUUGGAGGCCAUUAAAUGCUUCCGUGGUGUUUGUUGUUCAAGCUCAGGAAGAUGUCAAGAAUUGGAGCUGAGGAGAGACUUAACUGAGCUGUGUGUGAGGAAGGUUAUCCCGGGGUGGUUUACAGAAAGGAUGAGAGCAGGAAGAUUGACCUGGAGAUAGGCUAAGUUGUGAAGAGAGGGGCAGCUCAAGAGAGGCAGACAGCCUCUCGGAAAGUGACAAUAGGAACAGAAGAAAGAUUGUCAGGGAGAAGAGUCAGGUGGUGAGGGUCCAAGAGAGGUAGGAGCAGAAGAAUGACUGUCAGGGAGAAGAAUCAGGUGGUGAGGGUCCAGGAGAGGUAGGAGCAAAGGACAAUGUUGAGAUUUCCAGCUUAUAUGAGAGUGAGGAUGGUGAGGAUAGAGAUUAAUUAAAUGAGGUGUGGAACCAAAGGGCACAUUGGUGAAAAGAAUGUUUUUUGGUUCUGUUUUCUUUUCUUUUUUUUUUUUUUUUUUUAGAUUUUAUUUAUUUAUUUGAGAGAGAGAGAAUGAGAGACAGAGAGCGUGAGAGGGAGGAGGGUCAGAGGGAGAAGCAGACUCCCUGCCGAGCAGGGAGCCCGAUGCGGGACUCGAUCCCGGGACUCCAGGAUCAUGACCUGAGCCGAAGGCAGUCGCUCAACCGACUGAGCCACCCAGGCGCCCUGGUUCUGUUUUCUUUUAAAAUUUUCAUAGUAUUUUAGUUUUGUGGAGAAAACACAGUAAUACUGUAUCUUUGGGGGAAAAAAUGGGCAGGCAGGAACUAUGUGUUUUGUAGACUAUGAUUUAUGGCAGACGGUGGCUGGGUAAAUUUUGCUCUCUUUGGCCUAAGCUCUCAAAAGAGAGCUCUUGCUGGGACGCACAUUCCGAUUUUGUGUCUCUGUAUUUUACAAGGGAAUUGAAACAUACCGCUUCAGAGUGAAUUAGGAGUGAGUUUGUACAUUUUUCUGCUUAGGGGAACUCAAAUAGUUUCCCAGGGAAUACGUUCUCUGUUUUUCCAACACCUUUCCCUUAUUCCCCAAACAGAUUACCACGUGUCUCUCGUAUUUCCUACAGUGUCAUCAGAGCUAGAGUGCCAGGGAGAGAUCAGGCAGAGGGCAUGAUAAUUUUACACUUGAGACGGUGAUAUGUAGGAUCUGAAGUUUCUAAACUCCUCAAGACUCUUGGGUGCAAGGUAUCUUUUGUGUUCCAGUACAAAACCAACACAGCCCAUGGAGUAAUCCCUAAAGGUAUCUGGGCGCAUAGACUCUGCUUCUGAAAGCUCUUAUUGUUCAGCAUUUGGAAACAUUUCCAAUUGUUUCCUUAAUGCCCAGUUUCCCAUUUGUAACAUGUUGUAAUUGAAAUGAAAGCCUUUGUUAAUAUUCAACAGGACUAACACUAAGGAAACAUAGAUGCAGUUUCUCUUACCUCUCCUUUAAUGCUUUUCUCCCAUAUUUAAUCUCCUGGGAGUCCUUCCCUCUCUCUUCUACCCUCUAUCUUACUACUCACAGACCCUGAGAAAUCUUAACUUUCUUCAGCAACAACUGGAAGAAAUUCUCUGAUCUAAAGCUCCCAGAAGAGCUAGCUGAUUAAUUUCAUUUGGAAGCAGCAGCUUCAGAAGUUAUAUAGAUUUGCAAAAGCCUGCUUGCAGAGUAGGAUUGCAAAUUUGCAUGCAUUGCACCCAGAUGUGCCCAGGAAAAUAGGUAGUCUGGUCUAGAAGGUAGAAGGUAACUAAAGGUCUAAACUAGUUUAAAUCCUGUUUGACGUAAUUUAAAUAGCUCAUUUCUUUAUGCUUUCUCUCCCUCCUCUCCCUCCCCCCCCCCAAGAUGGUAUCUGUCUGUUCUAGGAAUGUAGGAUAUCUUCUGACAUUGAUGAGGAGCGCUUGGAAUUUCCUGCAAAGUCCUUGGCCUAUCCCUUAGCUGCUCUGUCCUGUGGCAGGGUCCCUUGCCCCACUGGCAAUCCCGGCUCUCUGUAUGACCUGGUCUCUCUUCCUUGGCCAGGACCUGAAAGCUCGCCAUGCAUUUUCUGGCCCCAUCUAAGACCUCAGACAGCUCCCAGCCAAACACACAGCUAGUUGGAGGUAUUUGGGGCAUCCUGGGCCCCAACCACAGCCCUGGGACCCAAGAGCAGCCAAGAAAGCAUUACCUUCAACCUGGGCUCCCUGCAGGUUGUUUGCUGUGGCUGAGUGUUGUUCGAAUGUGGUGCCAUUAAGGACUAUCGGUUCACUAUGCAAUGCCCUGGUGAUCAAUAGGGAGAAAGAUGGACACUGUUCUUGAUAUGGAUUUGGGCCUCUGCACUUCUCAUUAUACACCAUCAAGUAGGGCAGCCAUGUCCAAAUUGGGACACCUUUUUUUUUUUUAAUUCAAUUUUUAAAAAGUUUUCAUUUAAGUUUGAGUUAACAUACAGUAUAAUAUUAGUUUCACGUGUACAAUAUAGUGAUUCAACACUUCCAUACAUCACCUGGUGCUCAUCAAAAACAAGUGCACUCCUUAAUACCCAUCACCUGUUUAACCCAUCCCCCCACCCACCACCCUUCUGGUAACCAUCACGAACUGGGACACUUGAGACUGAAAGGGGGUGCUAAAAUAAUUUAAGUAUACAAUAUUUUGAAAUAUAUUUUAUUGAAUGAUACAUUGGUUUUACUAUUUUGAUGCCAUUAUCAAAUAGUUCUAUUAAAAUUAUUUCAAAAUAAAUUUCUUUUGACUAAAAAUUAAAAUAAUAUAUAUCCACACGCAGGUGAAAAUGGAAACAAAUAGCCCCUAUCAGUGAGCUGAGCCUGAAAGAAUUUUAGAUCCACAUUCCUAAGAAGGUCCCCAGUGCAGGAUCAGGUACUCCGGGGUGAGGGCUGCAGAGCUAAAUUGCCUUCAUGCCAGGGCUAAAUCAUUUGCUGAGGGUUUCCAGGUCCUGGUCACAGCAAGAGACACCAGGUCACACAGUUGGCAACUGUGAUUACCAGUGGGACAACCGCCCACCUGCAGCACAAGUUUACAGCACAUUAAAGGCAAAGAGCCAGUGAAUCCAGUAUUAUCCUAUGGUUAGCUCUGGACCGCAUAUUUCACUGAGCACAGUCUAGAGAUGGUUGGGCUUUGGGUCUUUUCACAUCUUUGUAGGAAUGAUCAGAGCUAGAAGCCACGGUUUGGAGAGGAAACUCCUAGAAUGAUAGGAGAAAGAGGCAGAAAGGAGGAGGGCUCCCAGAGGGUUCUUUUACUGCUGAGGUCUGAUGACCUCAGAAGGUGAAAAGCACAACCUAGACUCUUCCAGGGUGUGGGCCCCCUUAAAGGUAGUGAAAUACCAGAGUCAGCAUGAUAAUCAUGAUCUAGGAAAUGCUGCCUCCUAGAAAACAAAAAGAGACCCGCUAUGUUGUGAUUAAGCAAACAAGACGAUAUUAAAGUAUAUCAGAUGAAAGAAGCAAAACAGAGAAAGUAGUUUAAAACAUUUUCAAAUGAGUUGGAAUAGCUUUCUGAGCACCAUCAUCAGGGGGCUAGCUUCAACUCUGAUCAAAGUUUUCAAAUAAUUGUAGCGGCCCCCCCCCAUCUGCAGUUUUGCUUUCCGCAGUUUCGUUACCGGUGGCAUCAAGCACGGGUCCGACGCUGAUGAUCCUUCUAACGAAUCGUCAGAAGCUCAACAGUAGCCUAACACUUAGUCACAGUGCCUACAUCAUUUUCUUCACUUCAUCUUAUCAUGGAGGCAUUUUAUCAUCUCACGUUGUCACAAGGAGAAGGAGUGCAUUUUGAUAUUUGAAUGAAGAUCAUAGUGUAAGGUGGUUGCUGAACUCAAGCUGUGUUAAACUGCCUGACUGCCCUGCUUUAUUGUUUGUGACUAGAGAGAGAGUGCCGCUCUGUGCAUCCUGUCCACUGUAGAGGAGAGGGACAUAGAUGAUGGUGGCUAUUUCCUAUGCCAAAGCCUGGGAAAAAGGGCUUCCUUAGGUUUAUCCAUAACACUUACUGCAUAGUUCUUUGUAGUUGGGUAUGCACUUUGACAUACUGCCUUGGAAGUUCAGAUGGCAGCAGAGAUGGAUUCCUACAUUGUUUUGGCAGCAGAGUGAAGGAACAUGACCGCUGGGCAGAGCAGAUCUGCCCCCCAAAGUUGGUCAGGACACAGGUCUGGCAAGUGGGGGAGAUAAGCAAGAGAGAGAGAGAAGAAACAGGGGAGGAGGCCUGGCACAGUGCAUGGCACAAAACUACUUUGCAAAAUGUGUUUACUGAAUGAACGGUGGCACCUGAGACUAUUUUUGAGCUGCUUGAAACCAAGAACUCAUAUGAGAAAGAAGGAACUAGACUGACGGGGAGAGAUUCUGCUUUGGAUUUUCAAAGAGCUGUGUGGACUGGGGAGUUGUAGUGUCAGACAUGAGGAGUUUAUUGAUUUCAGGUAUAAGUGUGAGAACACUCUUAGAAGAUGAAGUACCCUAACCCCUGUGAGUCCUACUGUAUAAGAGCCAUCUUCCCUUCUUUCUUGCCAGCAGAAUUCCAGUUUUACUUGUGCAGCCAUAUUGAUAAUCCCAGACCAUUGUCCUGUUCAGAGCACUGCUCUCUGUGUGUAAGAUACUUGGAACUCAAGUAGCUCUCCUACCACAAGCACAAAGCCUUUAGUGAUAUUGACACUGACUCAACUCCCUCACUUCCUUGAGCUCUUGAGCCAGUUCUGGAACCACUCCAGACUGAUUGCUGUGUGAGAUAAUUAAAUGUCUUUCAUUAUUUUAGCCUCUUUAUAUGGGCUCUGAUAUUUGUGGCCAAAUGCAUCUUUAAACACACCAUAUGUGGGAAACCCUAAUUUUAUCAUUGAAUAAGUUUAUAUGCAUUUUGGGGGGACUUCUGAAUGCAUUAUUACUUUCUUUGUUAAAAUUCUCUCUUUCUUAUUUGUUUAUGUAUUGGUCUGGGCAUUGAGAAAAAUUGAUGAGCAAUUCUGACUCCUCUAUUUACCUGGUAUUUGGUAGAGUGAAAUGUGCCAUCAUUGUACCAUAGUCUUUUUUAUCAAGCAGCGUAAUCAUAUUGAGUUUCUGGAAUGCAUUGAGGACCUUGAAUGAAAUUACUCAGCUUAGAAUAAAUGGAAAAAAAAAUUUAAGUCUCAGUUAAAGAUAAUUUUUUUCUCAAAUCUUUUUGUUAUUUUUUAAGUAUAAAAAUGUGUUGAAAUACAGAGAGAAUGCUCCAGAGCCAGGAUUCCAAUCAAGUUAUGGUGUAGGGAGGAUGUAGUCAAUACCAGUUUUCCUUUGAGGCAGUAUGCCUGGACAUUCAAAUCUAUGUGGAACCAAUCCCUCCCUCCAAGAAGCCUGAUUAGAGUUGAGCAGUUGUGUUUGUCUGACAACUAUCUCUUUCAGUUAGCUCAAAUUGCCAAUCACCAGGUCAGGUUUUGCUAAAGAAGACUAGACUUGAAAACAAUGAGAACUAGAAUGACUUUUGUAUAACCUGCACUAUA